rnacentral:lncRNA from 1 species
GGAAGAAUUAAGGUUGAUUCCAUUUUCUAAACCAGACCCAUUUAUUGUGAUAGAUAAAUACAUAUUUGGUAAGUUACAAACAAAAGAAAUGAAAAUUGCCCAAAGAAAAAAAGGAAAAAGAAAUGAAAUAUCUAUCACACAAAAACUCAAGCGAAAUUUGAUCGUGUGUGAUCGAACUAACAUCUUUUUAUUUUAUCUAUCACGAUAUCUUUUUUGUUCGUCAUUCAUUUUAAUUUCUAGGCUGAGCUCAAAAUUUCUCGAAAAAAUUGUUGUAACAUUAUGGAGGCAGAAGCAACAACUCUUCUUUGGAUCAUGACAUGCUUGGAUGAUCUUGGCUAUGAAGAGGUAAUUUUCGAGAGUGAUUCAAAGAUAUUGGUGAAAGCGGUAGCUGAACCUCGAGAAUGGUCAAGAUUUAUAGUCUAUACCAGAGAAAUCAACAAUACAAGAAAUAUAUUAUUUCGACCAACCAUCACUUUCCAAGCAAGAGAAAAGCCAACCAAUGUGUUGAUCUUACAGCCAAUAAAACCUCUUCAUAUGAAGUACUCUUUUGUUGAGAAGGAGAAACGAAUUUAUAUGAAAUAUGUUUGAGCUCGAAAAAACAAGAAAUAUAUGGCUUUAUGUUAAAAUGAUGAUAACUCUCCUAAAUUAACAACAACAAACCAAAAAAAAUGGGUGAUAAUCCUCGAUUACUAGUUUCGAUUCUAUACUAUUACAUUUCGGUUAUAUUCUCAUUUUCAAUCAACUUUCCAUUAUAUUAUAACAUGUUGACGUCAUAAAGAAAUUAUAACAUGAUAUAUAGUGAAAUACAAACGAUAGAGCUAUUAAAGUGGCAUAAUAAGAUGAUGCAAGAUCUGAUCCGAUACUACAGCAAAUAGAUAUUUGUCACUGGCUGGUCAUACUUUUUACCAUAAUAAUAAAAAGACUGUGCAUACAUUGUGCUUGGGUAUGCCUAGAUAUUCUAAGCAAAUCGGUCAUAAAUACAAAUACGUUCUGAAAAGGUACCUAAGAGAUAUUUAGCAACCUCCUCCACCACCACAACCUCUUCCUCCACCACACCCGCCUCUACCGCCAGACGCUUAUGGUCCAGCAUAUGGUCUAGCUCCAGUAUAUAUUGAUCCAUCUUUCGUCUCAUUUUUUUUAGAUUCUUUUUCACCGGUGCAAACAAAUACGGCCAUGGCUAUUACGGAUAAGGUGGCUGCAACCGCCAAUAUCCCCCAAACUAAACCAAAGCCACUGGUUCUAACGUCGCUCAAUAUGCUUCUCACCAUAUUCUCUUGUGUAUAUUUUGGUUAAGUUUGAGAUUUUGGAUUCGGUUUUGGGUAGGGAUUUAUAUAUGCUUUUUAGAUGUGAGAAAUAAAAAGCAUUAUUUGUAGAUAAUUUUUUGAAUGGACAAUGUUGGCUUACCGCUUACGUCACGUGUGUCGGUGUGUGGUUACGUAAGAGUAAUAUGUAAAAAUCUACAAGUUUCUCUGAUGUCAUAUAAGAAAAUUUCUUGGUUUAUAUGAGGUGGCUACUUUUCAACAUGCUUUAACAUUUGGUUCAAUAUAAGUGAUGCUCUUAUGAUAAGGUCUCUCUGGCUACUUUUCAACGUGCUUUAACAUUUGGUUCAAUAUUGAGGGAUGCUUAAAAGUCUUAUGAUAAGGUCCCUGAACUUUAGUACGUGGAUGGUCGUAAUCCAUACCUUGGAAUAUUUUGCUUACUAAUUCAUUAUUUGUCUUUUGAAAAUUUGAAACAAAUUUAUAUUAGAUUCUGAAAUUACUUGAUAUUUUUAUGUAAGACCUUUGUGGAACCAAUCCAUUUAUUUUGGGAGGUUGAUACAAUUGUUGUAGGAAGUAAAUUUAGAGGAGACAAAUAUUGCAAUGUAAGAAACCGAUUUGAGAUACAGAAAAACGUUUUGAAAGCGGAUUAAGGAAAAACGAGAAGUGGAGGCGAGAUGAUCUCUUUCCUUAAUUCAAAAUAUCUCCCGCAGUGUGGCGGUUGGAUGAGAUAAAGAAUCCCAGGAUACAACCACUAGUAUUUGUAUAAUCGCAGCACCCGAUUAUAGAAUGUGACGAACUGAUAUUCUACGAUAUACUCUCGGACACUUACUCUUGAAAGAAGAAAGGAGACGCGAGAGAUUUGAAGGAAAAGUGUGAAUGAUUUUUCUCUGUAAAUUUUCUGUAGAGAGCGAUCAAAAUUGGAAGAGGAAAAGUCGAUAUAUGUAGCGAAGGAGAGAGGAUCGUCGCACUUAAUCAGCGUGUUAAUGACGAGAUUAAUUUUGUGCUAAUGACGCGAUUUGGGCGUUAAUCUUGGCGUGAUUUUCAGGAGAGACAUUUGACUGCAGUUUAAUGUCGUGAUUCUGUUAAGAAUUUGAACCGAAAACUUUAGCAAUUUGGGCCAGAAAUGUUGACCAAAACGAGGCCCAAAAAGAACAUCUUUUGUGGGCCGAAGGCCCACAUUCACCAAGACCCAAGACCCAAGACCCAAGACCCAAGACCCAAGACCCAAGCACUACAAGAAAGAGGGGCUUUUCCGUCGAAUUAUUUACGACGAUUUGUAGUCGUCGUAAAUUUACGACGACAUUACGUCGUUUUUACGACGAUCAAAAAUUUUGUCGUAAAUUCGACGUAAAAAAUAACCCUUGUAAAAUCGUCGUAAUGUUACGACGAAUAAAGAACGAAUUUUAUUUCGUCGUAAUCUUGUCGUAAUAUUUACAUCGAUAAUACGACGAAUUGUCCUCUAUCUUGUAGUUGACGUAAAAUCAAUGUAAAUGUGAUGUAAAUUUUAUUUCGACGUAAAUUUGAUGUAAAUAUGCAAUGGUAAUAUGUUGGUAACCAAACAAAAAAUUCUAUAUAUACCCUUUCUUCUCUCAUUAUUCCAUCAUCCCAAAAAAACAUAUAAAAACACAAAUUUUUUGAGUCUUUGAAUGUUUAAGUAAAAUUUUUAGUAGUUGAAAUUUCUAUCAAAUUUCAGAAACAAAAAGUCAAAUAUUUGUUUUUGAAAUGUCUAUAUACGAUCUACGAAAGUGGAUGUAUACGCCCAAAAAUAGUGAUGGGUCGUUGACUGAAGACUUCAAAAACGGAUUGGAAAUAUUCAUGUACCAAGCCGGCCUUCUGGAAACUGUAAUUGAAAGCGGCAAAAUGUAUUGUCCUUGUGUGAAAUGCAAAAUAGGAAACAUAUUCUUAUUGACACUGUCUGGCAGCAUUUAUUGAAUAGAGGGUUCAUGCCUCAAUACUUUAUUUGGUAUCAGCAUGGAGAGGGAUAUGGUCAAAGUAGUGGUCAGAUGGCUGCACGGAGUAGUAGUAAUCAUCAAGAACAUGUGGAUUUUGAAGCGUCCAAUGAUUAUCAAAGUAGUCAAGUUCAGGGUGAAGAUCAUGAUAGGAUGCAUGAAAUGAUUACUGAUGCAUUUCAUGAAACACAUGCUGAUACUGUUGAGGAGCCCAAUGCAGAUGCGAAACGCUUUUAUGAUAUGUUAAACGCAGCAAAACAGCCUUUGUACGAGGGAUGUAGGGAAGGUUUAUCAAAAUUAUCAUUGGCAGCUCGGAUGAUGACAAUAAAAACAGAUCACAAUCUAUCUGAAGUUUGCAUGAACGAUUGGGCAGAUCUUAUUAAAGAGUAUUUGCCAGAUGAUAAUUUGGCUGCUGAAACGUAUUAUGAAAUUCAGAAGCUGGUUUUUAGUCUUGGAUUGCCUUCUGAGAUGAUUGAUGUUUGUGUUGAUAAUUGUAUGCUUUUUUGGAGAGAUGAUGAGAAGCUUGAAGAAUGUCGUUUCUGCCAAAAGCCAAGAUAUAGACCGCAAAUUGCUGGGCGUAAGAAGAUUCCUUACCAACGAAUGUGGUAUCUUCCUAUCACUGAUAGGUUAAAAAGACUAUAUCAAUCCGAACGGACAGCUGCGUCGAUGAGAUGGCAUGCGGAACAUUCACAAAAAGAUGGCAAAAUGACUCACCCGUCUGACGGGAAAUCUUGGAAACAUUUUAACACCGUACAUCCAGACUUUGCUAGGUCUAAGCGAAAUGUUUAUCUUGGUCUUUGCACUGACGGGUUUAGUCCAUUUGGUAUGUCUGGUAGGCAAUAUUCAUUAUGGCCUGUGAUUCUUACGCCAUAUAACCUUCCUCCAGAUAUGUGCAUGGAAAGAGAGUUUUUGUUUCUAAGUAUAUUAGUCCCUGGUCCAAAUCACACGAAGCGGGCCCUUGAUGUUUUUUUGCAACCACUCAUACAUGAGUUAAACCAGUUGUGGCAUGUUGGAGUACGAACAUAUGACUGUUCGAGUGGUAAAAAUUUUACGAUGCGAGCGGUGCUUAUGUGGACAAUAAGCGAUUUCCCGGCAUACGAAAUGCUAUCAGGUUGGACAACGCAUGGGAGGUUAUCAUGUCCUUAUUGUCUUCAUAGGACUGAUGCAUUUCAGCUUAAACAUGGUAGGAAAACCUGUUGGUUUGAUUGCCACCGUCGGGUUUUACUACGACGAAUUUACGACGAAUGGGAGUGAUCGUCGUAAAUUCGUCGUAAUAUACCAUCGAAAAUACGACGAAAUGUAAUCCCUAAAUCUUAUAAUCAAUCUUUUAUGGGGUUCAGAGGGGAUUUUGAUGAGGAGAAUGAAAUGGCUUACCAUCUCAUAAGGUAAAACAACUUUCUAAACAAAAAAAAAAAAAUUCAAAAUUUGACAUAUAUGUCUUUAUCAAGUAAUCUUAAGGUGUUAUAUACAUUUACACAAGAUGUAUGGAUUUAUCUUACAUCUUACUAAAUUCUUCAUUAAGUUAUGUAAACAUGCUAGAAAUUUAUACAGACCACAUUUAUCAUGAAUAGACAUGCUUGUAUGUGCUUAUGGAUGUUUCAAUUUUUGAAUUUCAUCAGUUUUGGUAUAAUUCGUCGUAAAUUCGUCGUAAUGUUACGACGAAUUUACGACGAUUUGUGGAUACACAGCCGUCUUAAUUUUUUUGAUUUAUAAGAUUCGUCGUAAAAUCGUCGUAACAUUACGACGAUUUUACGACGAAUAGCACGGAUCAUCGUAAACUCGUCGCAAAGCCCAGAUACAGCCACGUGUGUUUGUCUUACUCGCUUUGUUGUACGGUGGGACCUUUGCGACGAAUUUACGACGGAAUUCGUCGUAAUGUUUACGUCGAAUUUACGACGAAUAUAAAUUCUAUAUAUAGGACCUCACCCCUUCCUCAUUUCGUCGCUUAUCUCUCCUUCCUCUCUCUCUGCUUCCUCCUUGCCACCUCCUCCUUUUGACGCAAAAAAAAAGGUGAAUAAUUUUUUUUAAUUACUUAAAAUUAUAAUAAUUUUAAAUAGUUUAGAAAUUCAAACGGUUUAGGUCGGGAAUUAGUUUAGGCUCGGAAUUUGUUAGAUUUAGGAUCGGAAUUUGUUAGAUUUAGGAUCGUAAUUAAAAAUUAAUUGUAAUUAAUUUGAAAAAUAAUUUUUUUCGGUUUUGCAGACGAUGACUCGACGGAGGACGCAUUACAUCAAUUUCAUGGCGGACGGACAUUCUUCCCGGGCGUCUGCCUCGGGAAACACCGGGACCGAUGUCCCUUCAUCUUCCGGAGCCUCCCAGGUUCCGAAUACCGCGGAGCCGUCUCCACCACCGCCUCCACCACCACCUCCACCGCCGGCUGUCGAACCGGUACCCGCCCCGGCUGCCGAACCGGUACCCGCCCCUCCUCAUCUGUAUGUCCAGUUUACGAUUGAGGAUUUACUAGCCUUACCGGGACGGGGGGCUUUACGACGUCUGGUUCCCGGAAAAGCGGAACCAGGCUCUUAUUGGUAAGUAAACUUUUUUGUUUUUUUAUAGUUUUUAAAUUAACGCUUUAAUUUACUUAAAUAUUAAUGUAAUAAUUUUUUUUUUUGGUUUCAUAGGUUUACUUUGGAUAAUUGUGUCGGGCGGAGCGUUUCCGACACAAUUAAGAGUCAUUUCGUGGAGCACGUCAAUUGGAGCAAGGUGUCGCAAGAGACGUGCGACACCUGGUACAAGUGCUUCGCGGUAAUAUUUUUAAAAUCUUAUUUAUAUCAUUUUAAAUUGUUUUAAAUUUAAUUAAUCUUACUUUUAUAUUGUUUAUCUAAUUUUUUGUUUUCUUUUGCAGCAACGGUGGAACUGGGACAUCGGGAUCAACGAGACGGUCCGCGAAGCUUUCGAGGAAAAGGCGAAGAAACGCCUAGUCAACACCGUUUCCGAUUGGAAGCGGAAAUGGGAGACCGACGGCGACGACGCAAAGCCGAGCUCCAUGUCCACUUGGUGUUGGAACGGGUUGAAGGCGUAUUGGGUGGACCCGCAUGCCCAAACCACCGCUGCUAAGUGUUCGGCCGUCCGAAACCGGGUCGAUCCGGUGACUGGUGAGAAGUUAGUGAACCCGUACACUUCUGGCCAAAUAUCUUUUACGGGAAGACGUCUCAUGAUGGUAAGUAAUUAAAUAUAAAUUAUUUCAUUAUUAUUUUAAUUUUAUUUAUUGCUAGAAUUAAUUAAAUAUUUUUGACUAAUAAUGUUUAUUAAUUGGUAGGCCGAGGAGAACGGAGGAGAACUACCUCCAAUGACGAAGCUCUUCGAGACCACUCACCGGAAGAAGGACGGGAGCUUUGUCGACGCUCGGUCCGAGGAGAUCUACAAUGCCGCUUGCAGCGGAUCGCCGAGCGGGAGACCCAGGCCACACCUGACGGUACUAUCCAAGUACCGUUGACCGUCGCUGAGCAAGACCAGAUUUUCGAAGAGGUAUGAUAUCUAUUUCAAUUUUUUAAAAAUUUAUUAUAUUUAUAAUUACUUAAUAAAUAAUUAACGUUUUUAUUUUCCAUUUGUAGGUUGCUCCGAAGAAGAAGGGCCGAACCUUAGGGAUGGGCUCUAUUAGAGAUUGUCCUGCCGCCACGGCUUCCGGAUUCCGCACGCAGGAUCCGCAGCUUCGCCAGGAGCUUGCUACGGCCAAUGCUGAGAUCACCAGUCUCAGGCAUGAGCAAAUGGCCCAGAAGCAGGAGCUCACCGAGAUACAUGAUCUCUUCGACAUCAUUGCGGAAGCGGUUCCGCAGUUGGCCACCGCAAUCCGAGCGAGGCAACAGCGAGCACGGAGGGUUUUUGAGACCGGUGGUAAUUCCGGUACUGGACCAUCGGACCACCAGACGCAGGGCGGUCAGUCUUCGGCUCCGGUCUCAGCAGCGACGGGCGGUCAGACUUCGGCUCCGGUAGUGCAUACGGGAAACGUCGGCCUAGCAGCGACGGGCGGCCAAGACGGAGAGCCUCCUCGUGACGUCGAUCUCAACCUCGACGAUUACGACAUCAUUGUAUAGAUUAGGUUUUUUUGUAAAAAACAAUUUGUAUUAAUUUUUUUUAUUUAUAAAUUAUUUUUGAAUUUAAAUUUCAAUUUAAAUUCAAAUUUUUUCUAUUUUUAAUUUUUUGAUUAUUUUAAAAAUUCAUUAAUUAAAUAAAAUCGAAUUAAAUAAUUAAUUUAUAAAUCGACGUAAAUUCGUCGUAAAUUUACGUCGAUUUACCGUCGAAUAUUUAACGACGAAUUUACGACGAAUAAGUUUACGUCGGCUUUACGUCGAAACUUUACGACGAUUUAACAUCGACAAUUAAAAAUUUAGUUUCCCUUAAUUGAAAUUGUUCGUCUCCUAAUCGUUGUUAAAUCGAUGUAAUUUUACAUCGAUUUAACGUUGUUUUUAUGAUGGAGUUCUUUCGUUGUACAUCCGUUGGAAAUUUUACGACGCAUUUACGACGAAUUGUUCCCGACGAUUUUACGACAAUUUUCCGGAGUUGGUAAUUUUACGACGAUUUUACGACGAUUUCGGUUUUACGACGAUCGUUUUACGACGAUUUUUAAUUUGUCGUUAAUCCGACGUAAAUGCUCUUUUACGUCGAUUUUACGUCGAUAUCUGCCGACGUAAAAGCCGAUCUUUCUUGUAGUGAAGACCCAAGACCCAAGACCCAAGACCCGAGCCCGGCUCGGCUCGGCGGCGGCGGCGGCGCGCGAGGGGUCCUUGGUUCUCCUUCACACACUUUGAACUAUGUCAUGUGUGUGUCUAUAUUUAUAUGACUAGAAAAUUUUCCAAUCCUCCAAUGUGGGACAAAAUGAUGUUCCUCACAAUUUAAGUUGCCUUGAAGGGCUUUAUUUUUAUUCACACUUGACCAAAUUUUAAAGCCUUUGGGCUUUGUAAUAAUUUGGGUCCAACAAUCCCCCACAUGAAUAGAAAUAACUCUAGACAUACGACCGGACUGACUCGAAGACUGGACUCGACUAGACUAAACUAAACGGACUUUCGAGAGUAUAAACGAAAAUUCCACUGUGUUUGAGAUAGUAGUAUGUUUCAACCUUGAACCACUCAAUGUUAAUAUCUGUCGGGCUUACUCAGCUAGAAGGUGAACAUGAUGUCUUGAACCACCCGAAUUUUGAUGUAAACCGAGACAACAAAUACAACUCAGUUUCAUUUUCUCGUAGAACUAUGUUCUCUAUUGUGUUCAUUUUGGCCUUGAACUUGCCUGGUUAAUCAUGAGUGAAGUUGGAGAAUAUAGCCUUUUGUUUUUCCAUUCUCAUAGAAACGGCCCCAUUUCACACUCACUAGGUGAUUUGCCAGUAGUCUUUGUUUUAAGAAGUGUUGUACUUCACUGAUAUAUCAAAGCUACGGUCUUCUCAUUAACAGCUUUGCUUAUCCUUUGAAAAUAUACAAUGAAAAUUGUAUGUAAGCACUGUCAAUCAUCUUGGGACCUAGGUUAAGACUAUACGUCUUUCAGUGCUUUAGAUUUUGUUUGAUUUAGUUUUCCCUUUUGAACCAUACAUCUUGAGAUCUCCAGUCAUGUAGGUGGGGUUUCCAUCAAACAACCUCUUUAGUCAUAGGCUUUAAACCCAUUCCCUUUGACGAUUUGAGAACUUGAUCACGAGCUAGACCCUUAGUGAAUGGAUCUGCUAGAUUAUCAGCUGAUUUUAUGUAAUCUAGUGAGAUUACUCCGGUUGUGAUCAAGCUUCUAAUGGAUUUAUGUCGCUUUCUUAUGUGACGAGAUUUACCAUUAUAGAGAUUAUUUAGUGCCCGGGCGAUAGCUGAUUGACUAUCACAGUGUACACGUAUUGCCGGGACUGGUUUCUCCCACAUUGGAAUAUCUUCCAAGAAAUUUCGGAGUCAUUCGGCCUCCUCUGCAGCUUUAUCUAAAGCUAUAAAUUCAGACUCCAUGGUUGAUCGGGCCAGUAGAGUUUGUUUGGAAGACUUCCAAGAGACUGCUGCACCAGCAAGGGUAAAGACAUAUCCACUUGUGGAUUUUGAGUUUUUGGUGUCAGAUAUCCAGUUUGCAUCACUGUAUCCUUCCAAAACUGCGGGUUCUCUCCCAUAGUGCAGCCCAUAACUUUUAGUGUAUCGAAUGUAAUUUAAUACUCUAGUUAUGGCUUUCCAGUGUUUGUGUCCUGGAUUAUUUGUAUAGCGACUAAGUACAUUUACCGCGUGUGCUAGAUCAGGUCUAGUACAAUUGGUUAAGUACAUAAGGCUACCAAUUAUCCUUGCAUACUCGACUUGUGACACUGCUUCACCUGAGUUUUUGGUCAAGUGAAGUUGAGAGUCAACAGGAGUUUUUGCAGUUCCAUUUGAAUAGGUUUUAAACCGUUCAAGUAUCUUUUCAGCAUAAUGUGCUUGAGACAAGGUAAUCCCAUCAGAAGUUCUUGUGAUUUGUACCCCAAGAAUGACAUCUGCUAGACCCAUGUCUUUCAUGUCAAACUGUGCACUAAGCAUAUUCUUAGUUUGUUGGAUUAUGUCAUUAUUGCUGCCAAUAAUUAACAUGUCAUCUACAUAUAAACAUAGUAGGAUAUAUCCAUUAGGGGUCGUUUUUAUGUAAAUGCAUUUAUCACAUUCGUUUAUGCUGAAGCCAUCUGACAUCAUCGCAUUGUCAUAUUUUUCAUGCCAUUGUUUUGGUGCUUGUUUAAGUCCAUACAACGACUUCACAAGUCUACAGACUUUGUGUUCUUGUCCCGGGACUACAAAUCCUUCGGGUUGUUUCAUAUAGAUUUCCUCGUCUAAUUCACCGUUUAGAAAGGCUGUUUUGACGUCCAUCUGGUGGAUUUCCAAAUUUCGUAAGGCUGCAAUUCCAAUCAGCAUUCUGAUGGAAGUUAUUCUCAUUACUGGAGAAUAAGUGUCAAAGAAAUCCAGACCUUCUUUUUGUCGGAAUCCUUGCACUACAAGUCUAGCCUUAUAUUUAUCAACUGAGCCAUCGGUCUUCAAUUUCGUUUUGAAGAUCCAUUUACACCCUAGAGCUUUAAACCCUUCAGGUAACUCAGUGAUUUCAUAAGUAUGAUUCCGUCUAAUGGAAUCCAUCUCACUAUUGACUGCUUCCUCCCAAAGAGGUGCAUCGGGAGUGGACAUAGCUUCAGUAAAUGUUCUUGGUUCGUUUUCGGUGAGAAAGACCAUCAAGAACUCAGGACCGAAGGAUUUUUCCUUACGAGCUCUUUUGCUGCGUCUAGGUUCUAUCUCUUCGUCUUCUGAAGCAGGAACCCCAGAUGUGGUUGCCACAUCUUCCAGAGGACGUUUUAGAUUUUGUCUAUCCUUGCACGGGAAAAUGUGUUCAAAAAAUGAAACAUUUCUUGAUUCCAUUAUUGUAUUCACCUGAAUAUCGGGUACAUCUAAUUUGUGAACCAGAAACCGAUAAGCACUACUGUUGCGUGCAUAUCCAAUGAAAAUACAAUCAACAGUUUUUGGUCCUAUGGUGACCUUUUUAGGUGGUGGCACAGCGACCUUUGCUAAGCACCCCCACACUCUCAUGUAUUUGUACGAAGGUACUCUACCUGUCCAUAGUUCAUAUGGCGUUUUGCCAGUUACUUUGUGCGGUAUUUUGUUGAGGAUAUAGUUUGUAGUGAGAAUUGCUUCCCCCCACAGAUUCUGGGGUAGCCCAGAUUCCUGCAACAUUGCAUUCAUCAUCUCUUUAAGAGUUUGAUUUUUGCGUUCCGCAAUUCCAUUAGAUUCUGGUGAGUAGGGAGCGGUGGUCUGAUGUAUAAUGCCUUUUUCUAGACAGAAAACAUUGAAUGGACCAUCAUAUUCGCCUCCUCUAUCACUCCUAACAAUUUUAAUAGUUUUACCGAGUUGAUUUUCAACUUCGAUUUUAUAUUCUUUGAAUUUCUCCAAGACUUCAUCUUUACUUCUUAGUAAAUAGAUGUAACAGUAUCUUGUACAAUCAUCAAUGAAAGUUACAAAAUACUUCUUACCUCCUCUAGAUUUUACUAACUUUAAGUCGCACAAAUCUGUGUGUAUGAGGCCUAGAGGUUCGGUAGUUCGAUCGACAUGAGGAGAUGGAGUUUUUGUGAGUUUUUGUACGCAUGUCUCACAUUUAUUUUUGCUUAUUUUGCAUUUGGGGAUUAAGUUCGAAUUUAUUAAUCUUUGUAUAGAUUUAUAAUUCACAUGUCCUAAUCGUUCAUGCCAUAAAUCAAAAGACUCAACCAAGUAAGAAGAUUCAUUCUUAUUAAUUGACCUGGUAGAAGGUACAUCAUUUUUGAGGACAGUCAUUACACACAUUUUGAUUAAGUCCUCCUUAACAUAACCCUUCCCAAUAAAAACCCCAUGUUUCCUUAAAAUCAGCUGGUUAGAUCCAAUGCGGACGUCGAAUCCGUGCUUGUUGAUCAUGGUUCCAGAGAUCAGGUUUUUCCUCAUUUUUGGCACAUGCUUCACAUUGGUGAGGGUGACUUCUUUUCCCGAAGUCAUCUUUAAGACCACAUUGCCUAUGCCUUCAAUCUUGGAGUAUGACUCAUUUCCCAUCAACAAGUGCGCAUUGUUCUUGCAUUUCUUGUAGGUUGAGAACUGGUCUUUGUCCAUGCAGAUGUGAGUGGUUGCACCAGUGUCAUACCACCACGUUUUUGGGUUUGGCUCAACCAUGUUGACUUCUGUGACCAUUGCACACAGAUCAGCUUGAGUCAAGUUGGCUUGUCCUUUGUUGUCCCUCAGCCUGCUUCGACAUUCAUUGGAGGUGUGGCCCUUCUUGUUGCAAUAGGUGCACUUCCCAACAAAUUUGGUUUUGGGAGUUUCCUUUUUGAAGGAAGUGGAUGAUGAUGGAGCAAACUUGUUUUGCCUUCCUUUGGGAGGAAAUUUCCCGUUGCCUUUGACUUUCCCUUUUCCCUUGUUCUUGAACUCUGCUACAUUUGCAUUGUAGGAGUGAAAUGGUUCAGGGUUGACAGGCGUGGCAGCUUUUACCUCGCGUUUCAAAGACUCAUUUUGCAGCCUGGAAAUCAGAUUUGACAAGGUCAUAGACUUCUGCUUAUGAUCCAGAUAGUUUCUGAAGUCUGCCCAGCUAGGAGGUAGCUUGUCGACGAAGCAAUUCACUAUGAAGGUUUCACAGAUCUUCAUUCCUUCAUCAGCGAUUUCUUGACAAAUCAUCUGAAGUUCAUGGACUUGUUCCAUGAUGGGCCUUGAGUCCACCAUCAUGUACCUCGUAAAUUUGGAGGUUGCAUACCUUCCAGAGGAUACAUUGAAAGUCUUGUACUUCUUAUCCAAAGCUUCCCAGAGAUCCUUGGACGACUUGAUUUCGCAAUAGACAUUGAACAAUUGGUCAACCAAGCGGCUCUGGAUGUAGCCUUUGCAAAGGAAGUCCCCAUGGACCCAUGCUUCAACGCUUGCAACAGCACGCACAUCAGUAUUCCCAGUGGGCAAAGCAGGUUUGUCCUCGGUGAGAUACCUAUCCAAAUGCAGAGUGCACAGGAAAAAGUGCAUCUUUUGCUGCCACUGUUUGAAGUUGGUACCAUCAAACUUAUCCGGUGAGAUACCUGCAGCAAUAGCGCUGGGUAAAUUCGGAAUGUUUGUGGGUAGGGAUCCGAGUGCUGCACCUCCAACCGCUAAGGGUGUUGAUUCAGCGACAUCCUCUUGUCUUCCAUCAACGGAUUUCUCCACAUUUUUCGACAUCUGUUCCAAACGAGACAGGAAAAAAAAUGUCAGAUUCGUUGAAUAGAAUCGAUAGAAUAGCGAUUAAAAUAAGAGUCGCUAAUUUAUGCGUUCUGCGGAAACGCUAUAGAGCGGCCGUAGAAUCGCGUUUGAGUUUUGAACUCGAAAAGACGUUCACGGAUUUAACCGAGACGAUUUACAGACGCGGAAAGGAAGUUAUAAAAACUGUCCUUGUGUGGUCCAAUAGCGUUUCGCGUAACUUGCCAAAGGCCUUCGCGGAAACGGUUUCUUGUUAUAAAAAAAAAUCGUUUUUUCCUUAAAAACGUUUUCUGAAAAUCGUUUGUAUAGCAAUAUAGGAUCCGAUUCAAGCGAUAAGCAGGAUCGGAUUAUUUUGAAUUAAGACUGUAGGAAGUAAAUUUAGAGGAGACAAAUAUUGCAAUGUAAGAAAACGAUUUGAGAUACAGAAAAACGUUUUAUGAAAGCGGAUUAAGGAAAAACGAGAAGUGGAGGCGAGAUGAUCUCUUUCCUUAAUUCAAAAUAUCUCCCGCAGUGUGGCGGUUGGAUGAGAUAUAGAAUCCCAGGAUACAACCACUAGUAUUCGUAUAAUCGCAGCACCCGAUUAUAGAAUGUGACGAACUGAUAUUCUACGAUAUACUCUCGGACACUUACUCUUGAAAGAAGAAAGGAGACGCGAGAGAUUUGAAGGAAAAAUGUGAAUGAUUUUUCUCUGUAAAUUUUCUGUAGAGAGCGAUCAAAAUUGGAAGAGGAAAAGUCGAUAUAUGUAGCAAAGGAGAGAGGAUCGUCGCACUUAAUCAGCGUGUUAAUGACGAGAUUAAUUUUGCGCUAAUGAUGUGAUUUGGGCGUUUAUCUUGGCGUGAUUUUCGGGAGAGACAUUUGACUGCAGUUUAAUGUCGUGAUUCUGUUAAGAAUUUGAACCGAAAACUUUAGCAAUUUGGGCCAGAAAUGUUGACCAAAACGAGGCCCAAAAAGAACAUCUUUUGUGGGCCGAAGACCCACAUUCACCAAGACCCAAGACCCGAGCCCGAGACCGAGCCCGGCUCGGCUCGGCGGCGGCGGCGGCGUGCGAGGGAUCCUUGGUUCUCCUUCACACACUUUGAACUAUGUCAUGUGUGUGUCUAUAUUUAUAUGACUAGAAAAUUUUCCAAUCCUCCAAUGUGGGACAAAAUGAUGUUCCUCACAAUUUAAGUUGCCUUGAAGGGCUUUAUUUUUAUUCACACUUGACCAAAUUUUAAAGCCUUUGGGCUUUGUAAUAAUUUGGGUCCAACAAUUGUUAAAUUAGCAGCAUGUUCUAUAUGUAGUAGAUUGGUUGGUAAAGUAAAUCAGUCAUAGUCAGUGAAGACCUAAGGUAAAUUCAUUUUCUAAAAUCAAAAACAUUUAUUAUGAUAGAUAUUUGGCUAGUGGUAUAUGCUCGUAUUCAUAUAAUAAUUGAAUGAUGUUUGUAUACAUGCCAGUCGUCCUCAUUUCAUUUUCUAAACCAAAACCAUUUAUGAUCAACGAGAUUUUGGUUUGUAUAUGCUGAAUUCCAUAAGCGGAUGCCUCCAGAAGCCAUUGACCUUGCAUCUCGGCUUCUACAAUAUUCACCGAGUCUACGUUGCACUGCGGUCAGUAUCUCUACUAUACACGACCAAGUAUUUGUUGGAAUAAGCUUGAAGAAACUUGAAGUGUAAGUUUCCUAAUCCUAAUCAAAGUGUGUUUUAUAGAAGGUUAGGAUUAGAAAAGAAAAUUUAGGAGUUAUCUAAAUAAGAAAUUUGUUUCUCUAUUGGAAUUAGGAGUUAGCUAUUUUAUUCUCUAUAUAAGAGUUGCCAAAGUUGUGGUAAACCUUAUGAGUUGAAAGAAAUAUUAAGAGAGGUUUUAGUUUUUGAGUGAUUUUUCUAAAGCUAAUAAAAGAAGUUGCUUUUAUUCAUACUUGAUCUAAGUCUCAAUUCUAUAACUGGUAUUGUUGGGGUCGGUUUCAUCCCAAUCGGUUUAAACCAUCUCAAGAACAUUGGAGAGCCGAUCCGACAAGGAGAACCGGUGACCUGUCGAAAAUGGGCCGAGCCCCACAGAAGAAGGCCAAGCUCAAGUGGGCCGAGCCGUGAGGUGAAAAUGGGUGAGCCGCGUAUGAGAGCAGACGGGCCGAGAUGUGUCGUGAGGUAUGGGCUGAGCUGCACUUAACAUGAUUGGACCGAGUCGCGCCUCGGCGAGUUAGGCCAAGUCGCGUCUCAACUCGAAUGGCAAGUGGGCCGAGCCGUAGAGAAGGUUAGAUGGGCCGAGCUGUGAGAAGAAUGGUGAGCAGGCCUAGCAGCGCGAGAGGAGGCAUGGGCCGAAUCGCUUCCCUGUGUGUUGGGUCGAGCCGGUUUUCCAAGAUGGGCCGAACCAAGGCUUUAGAAGACGAAAGCCCACAGAAUUCCUAGGCGAAGUAUUAUGACGGUGGCCACACGAAGCGAUAAGGAAAUAUACCUAAAAUCUCUCCCAAGAUUCUCGAAAGAGGCGUUUUAAGAAAUUAGUAUAAAUAGGAGAUUUCUACGAUUCAUUAUAUAACUUUUGCCACCCUAAGCAAUAAGACCUAAACACUUUAACAGCAAUAAAAAUCCUCUUUUGAUCUUACUGUUCUUGCGAUUACCCUAGAAGUUUCGGAUCCCUUAGUUUUUCUCUUACAAAUUUUUGGUUGUGUGAGUUUUGGCUCACACAAUUUGGCGCCGACUGUGGGGAACAUCGAAACUUUCUUACUCUAAACCGAAAAGACUUUAAGAUCCGAAGAACAUGGCGAGCAAUACCCCCGACGAUAACCACAACAACAGAAACAAUGGUAACGGCGCGGAGAAGGACGCUCUGGCAUCAGGCACAACGACGGCAGCGACCGAAACCCAAGAGGAGAUGCGAAACAUGAUGGCCGCGUUGAUGAGGAAAAUCGACGAGGAGGACAAACGAAACGAGGCGAUUACGGAGAGGCUCGACGCGAUGGCGGCUGAGCGACAACACCCAACCUGGAGAGCUGGAAUUCCCGACCCAAUGGAUGGAAUCCGGAGACGCUUCAACUUUUCAACGCCUGCAGAGGCCUCUGGGAGCGGCGCAAGAAACCCCUUGGUUCGCCCAAUGUUUCGUCCCCUCGGCGAACAGACUCCCGCGGCAACCCGAGUCAACAUGACUGAGCCGCCUCCACUCCGUCGGAACUCAAGGCGACGAGCCGGCGAGGAGGAGAAUGACGCGAUUGACGUGGACGCCCAGCAGAACGAUGGAACCACGAAUCCGCAACAAAAUGGCUCGGCUCGGCGGAUAAGCUAAGAAGAGCUCGCCUCGGCACUAAACGGCGUCCGGACUGACGAAGUCUCCGAUCCGACUCACGGCGACAACCCGACUGAAGAAGAAGAAAAUCUCCAAUGGAUCGAGCAGGUGAAGCGCGAAGACGAGCCGAGGAGAGAAGAGUAGGAGCGACUCCCCCAAUCAAAAGGAAUGACUCACGCGCAAACUCUCGAACUCAAAGAGUUGCGAGCCUCAAUGGCUCGGACAGUAGCUGAAAUACGCGCCAUGAAGUCUCAAGUGCACAACGCAACGAGUGCUGCGCCCGAGAUCGACCGGAUGCUUGAAGAAACUCAGAGAACUCCAUUCACGGCAAGAAUCACGGAGGCAAGGAUUCCCGAGCCCGGAAAAGUGAGAAUCCUGUUCUACGAAGGAACAACCGAUCCGAAAGCACACAUCACAGCGUUUCGGAUAGCAAUGGGACGAGCCUUCACAAAGAACGCUGCCAAACUGACCGAGCGGGAAGUAGAUGCCAGAUACUGCCUGCUCUUCGUGGAGCAUCUUAAGGGAGCCGCACUCGAGUGGUUUUCGAGGCAGGAACGCAACUCCAUCGGCAGCUUUCAACAGCUCUCUGCCUUGUUCCUUAAACAAUACUCGAUGUUUAUGGAUAGAGGAACGUCUGAUGCCGACCUGUGGACACUAUCCCAAGGACCGAACGAACCACUUCGAGAUUACAUGGCAAGAUUCAAGGCAGUCGUAUCCAAAACAGAAGGGAUAAGCGACAAGGCUGCACUCGAAGCUCUGAAACAAUCUUUGUGGUACAAAUCCGAGUUCCGACAGGAGAUGGCACUCAACACACCCCAAACAAUUCAAGACGCUUUGCACCGGUCAUCAGACUUUGUCGUAAACGAGGAGGAGAUGAAAAAUUUGGACGAGCAGUACGAAGCAACGAAAGCAGCAAUCCGAAGCUCAAUUUUGACGGGCCCCUCGAAGAAAGGCGACCCAUCGAACAACACAACAACGCAGAGCUCGGACGAACCUAGAAGCGGAGGUGCCCAUAACUACCAGGUAGGCACCGGACGCGGAAGAGGAGAGCCGCGCAACAACACUUGGGUAAGAAAGUCUGCUAACUACGACGAGAAGGCUUUCUGCGAAUAUCACCAGACCUACAGGCACUCAACGACACAAUGCCGAACGUUAGCAGCAAAACUCGCGGCUAAGAUGGCAGCGGGAGAGCUCCAAAACGCGGUCAACCUCAAAGACCUCGUCCCUAAUGAACCACAAGAAAGAGCCGAGCCGAGCGGCGCGGCUGAACCCGCAAAUCCUCCCCGACAAGGCGAUAACUCCAAGCGUGACAGGAGAGGCGAACCUGAAGAGCGACCCAAGCCGAGGCAAAUGAUCAAUAUGAUCAUGGGAGGAUCUCAAUACUACCAAGAUAUCGUGUCCUCCAUCAAAGCCUAUCAGCGCCGAGCCGAAGCGAAGGAGAAUUGGACAGAACCAACCGACAUCCUAAAUACAGUGAUCUCCUUCGCCGAGGAGGAAACGGCAGGAAUCGAUAGACCCCACAACGAUCCAUUGGUGAUUGAGUUAACAAUCAGGGAUCAUGACGUAGCGAGGGUGCUCAUCGAUAUUGGAAGCUCGGUGAACGUCAUCUUCAGGGACACACUCAGAAGAAUGGGAAUCGACCUCUCCGAGGUGGAAGCAAUCCCCAAACGUCUAACCGGAUUUUCAGGAGAAACGACGAUGACUAUGGGAACGAUCAGGCUCCCUGUGGUAGCUGGCGGAGUCACGAAGAUCGUUGAAUUCUGCGUCACCGAUCACCCAACAAUCUAAAAUGUGAUUAUGGGAACUCCAUGGAUCAACGGAAUGAGGGUGGUCCCCUCCACCUAUCAUCUCUGUCUCAAGUUCCCGACUCCAGCGGGUGUCAAAAUGAUCUGGGGGAAUCAGAAGGAGUCACGAAUGUGCUGCCUAGCAUAGCACAAGCUGAGGAACCCCGUCACCGACGCACGAGCAGACAUAGAUCGCAAAAAGAUGAAGACAGACCGAGAGCCUGCGAACAAGCUCUUGAAACUCUUAUAGCACUUACAGAUCGCGGAGAGCCGCAAAACACGCGCCGAGCCGGUAUGUGAUGCGGUGGACUCGGUGUGCAUAGACGAGGCGCGUCCGGAGUGAUGCGUCAAAAUUGGAGCAAAACUAGAAGAGCCUCUGAGAAGCAAACUCCUUUCCCUCCUCAAGGAGAACAUCAACACUUAUGCCUGGACAGCGGAAGAUAUGCCAGGCAUAAGCAUCGACGUGACCUGUCACGAGCUGAACGUGGACCCGACCUUUUGAUGUGCUCGUGUCAACUACGUGAGGGAACAAGUUUUACCCUUAACAAGACAAAUGAAAGCCGCAAGUGCACAGCGAAUCAGUUGUAGUAUUUAGGGAUCAAAUCCACAGAGAUUUGUGUACCUGGUAUUCUUCUACGGUUUUUAACUUUAUGUCUAGACUAAAUUGGUUUUAAAGGUUAGUUGUUUUUCUUGCGAAUUAAACUAAAACAAAAGAAAGCAAAUAAAUAUAUCCUAAAAAACAGGUAAGAAAAUCGAAUGAAAUGCAAUUAGAAUAGGCAAAUAUCGAAUGAAAGACUAAUAAGGCAAGUAAGAUAUCGCAUGAAAAGUAAAUAAAGCAAGUAAAUAAUGAACUAAGAAAAUUGAAAUGCAGGUCUAAAAAAGCAAGUAAAAAUCGAUGGAAUUGUAAACUAUGGCUAAAAACGCUGAGCUUUUGGGAACUCUAAGGGAUCAUAAUCGGUUUUAACACUAAGGUAGAUAGAUUGGGAUUGACAGAUAACGAUAUAUGGGUUCUAGAGCUAGAGUACGGCGGUAUGACUACGUCACUGUCGUGAUCAUAACCAACAGUUUCUCGCAACCCUGACCAGUAGGUUUCCACUCUGGCCCUGGAAGGGAGAGAACGCAAGAGCUGCACAAGACUCGUCAAUACUCACGAUCUCGCCGCAGGUAGGUUUCCACUCCUACGGAAAAAUCGCCUGUUUCAUUCUAGGGCUGAUACUUAAUGAAAACUUUCGCAACACUAACUAUCUAGAUCAGAUACUAGGUGAUCAAUCAAGCAUACAUGCAAUAAGAACAAGAAUAAACAGAGAACAGGUCGAAAUCCCAGAUCUAUAAACCUAGAUGUCUUAAUCGAUUAUGAGAGCCCCUUUCGGGAACCCUAAGCCCAACUCGGGAUCUACUCAGACAUGGCUGAGUUCGAAAUCAUCAUUGGUUUUAAUAUAAGUAAUGAAAAACAGUAAAGAAAAGAGAUAAAGAAAGCUUCUCUAUUGAAGAACUCGGACUUGAACAAUCUUCUACAAAAAUCUCAUAAAAACGGCUAAAGGAAAAGGGUUUAUGUAAAGUAUGAAGGGUUCUCCUUAAAAACGACCUAAAUGACAUGUAUUUAUAGUCUCCAAUACUCUAUGGUCUCUAGGGUUCCAGAAUUGAGGCUGAGAAUGACUUUGGGCUUCAGAUAAGUGGGCUUUAACUCGGAGAUUGAUUGCCGCAGUCGGGAGUGUUGUGACCGUGGCAAUUGGCUUGUUGGCCGCGGUCGGGAAGCUUCUGACCGCGGCAAAUAGCUUGUUGGCCGCGGUCGGGUGAGUUGUUGACCGACUUCGAAUGGCUCCGGGGCUAAUGAAAUAUCUUGAGAUCCAACCAUUGGAAUGUCUCCAAACCAAGUGAAUUUGAAAGCUGGUUGAUUCUUCUAUAAGUUGUCCAAUUUUGAGGGUGAUCAGACGGUGAGAAGGUCUUCGUCUCUCCAUGAGAGUUCUGACGGUCUGCAUUUAUCCAAAAGAGUCUUUUUGUUCCAUUUUGUGCCUCUUUAUCCCAAAUUACCUGAAAAGUCUUUUAAAAUCUGGAAACAUAGAAAUCCUUUGAAAACCUUUGAAAAUGGAGUAAAAACACCUGUAAAAGAUAUUAAAAUGAUCCAUAAAAAUGGUCAAAAUCCGGUGUUAUCAACUCUUCCAGACUUAGUCUUUUGUUUGUCCUCAAAGAAAAUAAGGCUAAAUCUCGGCGAGAGGUUUGAAAACGCAGGAACUAAACAAAAUCUCAGAGACCAAACUUCUAGACCAAUAUCAAUCAGUAUGCAUCAAUAGGAAUAGCCUAGAAAAUUCUCACUAGCAAUACAGGCAUAACUAGUCCGUUAAUCCGUCAUGCAGAAAUCUAUGCACUAAGAUCUAACUUCCAGUCAACUAGCUCUUAACAUUCAUUAAAAAUCUCGGUGGUUCUCAUCAAAGAAAAUCUAGGCAAGGCGAUCUAGGCUAGGUGUCAAGAAGGAUUAUUUUGGGGGGUAAGGCUUAAAGUGUUUACGGGUUACCUGAAGAUUUGGAGGAUGCAGGAUAUUAUGCAAAACCGCAAGAGAGAGUGAAGCUAUUGGUAUCCACAGUUUUCAGUUGGUGAGAAGAUGGAGAAUAAAAGCGAAAUAAAAUAAAAUAAAAAGAAAAGAAAAUGAUGAUAGAACCGUGAUGGUAGUGAAGUGCUGAUCAAUCACUCAUCCUCCGAAGUGUCGUCUGCGAACUGGUUUCGUCCAUUUUCUGCAAAAUGAAAUGAUUCUUGGAAAAAGAGUUAAUAUGGAUGCUGAUUUUAACACAUUAAGAUUUGUUACACUAAUACUAGCAUAAAGAGAUUAAUUAAAACCAUGAGCAAACAAAAUUGAUAUUGAAUCAGAGAAAUCAAGUAGUUCAUGACUAAAUUCGGAUUUUUGAUGUUCUUAACAUAGAAAUCUUCUAAAAAUCGGUUUUGAUGAGCAAUUUCCAUGUAAAAUUCUAAAGAUUACCCAAUACUAAUCACUAAUCACACAAGACUAAAUCAAAUUCAUCAAUUUUGCUGUUCCAAAUUCGAUUUUUAUUAAGCAUGUAGAAUCCAAAUUUCAAAAAUCUCAAUUUCUCUUAAGCUAAGUGCUAAAUCGAUUUUUAGAUAACCUAAAUGGAUAAUGUAUCAUUCUUAAGCUAUUUCCACCAUCAAUAGACCAAGAUUUUGGGUUUUUAAAGAAAACCCUAAGUUCAAAUCGAGUAAGAAUGGUGAAUUUGAGGUUCAUACCUUGCUGGAAAGAGAGAAUUGAUGGCAGAAUUGAAAUCAGCUUUGAAAAAGAGUGAGGUUUGAGCCAAAAAUCUCUUAAAAAGCUUAAGAAUUGAAAAAUGUGUUCUUUCUCCUAGAUCUUUAAGUCUUUUGGAAGAGAGGAGAAGAAAGAGUUUUGAUCCAAAAAGUUUGUUUCUUUUCUUUAAAAAGCAUUUUUGAAGCAAAAACGAAAAAUUUCUGGAAAUUUUUAAGUUUAUGGGAACUUACCUUUUCUUGUUUGCACAUUAGGAAAGUUCAAAACUUACGGAGGAUCUUUUCGGGUUUUACCGGGAACAUUUCGGGAAACACCGGGAAUCACCAGGCAACACCGGGAAAUACCGAAAAAGGCAGAAAUCCGCGGCAUCACCUCAACGACCAACGGCCGCGGUCAGGAGACGCGCGACCGCGGUGAUUGAGGGCUCGGCCGCGGUCAUGUUCACGGUGCCGCGGUCGACGCACCCUUGGCCACGGGUCGAACGGUCGCCACCGCGGCUCUUCCUCCUGCGGCCUAUUGUCCAAUCUUCUAGUCUUUGCCGGGCCGAGCGGCUAAAAACCUACCUUUUCUUCUUGGUUUUUCUAAUUUUCUGAUUUUUUUGUGUUUUUGUUUUAUAACAUACCUAAAACUUAAAAAGAAAAAGAAAGCAUAAAUUGUAAAAAGGAAAAGAAAACUAAAAGAAAGAGUACCUAAAUGGGUUGCUUCCCAUUAAGCGCUUUUGUUUUAAGUCGUUUAGCUCGACGUAAGCAUGAGGAAUCAGGCUGAUUUGAAUGGCACUCCACUUGAUGUGCCUUUAUCACUUCCGGUUGCUGGAGGUUUUACUUCUUCUCCUUGAGGAGAAGUCUUCUUACCUUUACUCUUCUUUCGGACUUUAAUGUUGUUCAGAACCCUUUUUGUGUUUUUGAUCAGCUCCUGGAUUUGGUCCUCACUAGUUUCUGUUGCAUCUGGUGGAAUGAUGAUCUUGAUCUUUGCAAAAGCUUUCGGCUUCUCCUUUUCUUUCUCUUUUGGCAUGUUUCCUUUGCUUGGAAAUUCUUCUAAGAUAGUAGGAUAGUACAUUUUUCUGUCCACAUUGAGGAAAACAGCAUGCCGGUUUGCGUGAUCGAUAAUUGCUCCUACUGUAGCUAGGAAUGGUCUCCCGAAAAUGAGUGGCCUCUCCAUGUCUUUAUCCAUCUCUAGGACUUGGAAAUCUGCUGGAACAGUCUUAUCUCCCACUAGAACUUGUAGAUCGUGAAUCGCCCCUUCAGUAUCUUUUUGAGAUAAAUCUCCAAAGAUAACCUUAACCGUCGAUGUCCUUAAGGUUUUUAUGCCCAAUUUUUCGGCAAAUGUCUUAGACAUGAUGUUGACAUUGGCUCCGGAAUCGCACAAGCAGUCUGUAAACUUGAUUCCUGAAAUGAAACACUGGAAAACAAAACGUCCCGGAUCAUCGGCUUUGGUAAGCCUUUGAAACGGUGAUAGUUCAGGUACCUUAAACGGUGGCUGCUUGGGAUCGAUAUCCUUGUACAGCGGUACAAAGAUUGGGGUUUCUUCUUUCUUUCCAUCGGUUCCGGCCUCUUCUUCGGGCAAUGUGGUUAUGGCGUUGCAAAACUUCUUAGCGUUAUCUUCAACUCUUCCUGGAAGAACUCCACUUUUCCUCUUCAUAGAGUCGGCCGUUUGGGCGACUUGCACAUCUAAUUUUUUUACGUGCGAAGAUAAAGAUUCAAACUUACCAUUCAGAUCAUUGUACAUGCAGACCACUUUCACGUUCACGUCUUUAGAUGCUUUUUCGUUCGUCAUAACGAGCUGUUGGAUUGACUGUUCAAGUCUACCGAUUUGUGAAGCUAGCUGGUUCGUCGUGACUCCCUGCUGUUGUACAAAUUGAUUGUUAAAACCCGUACCUUGGUAGUUAUAUGGCUGUCGCGGUUGAUAUGGUACUAUUCCUCCAAAGUUUCCACCUUGAAACUUGUUUUGGAAGGAUUUUUGCUGAGGUGGGUAGUACUGAUCUUGAGGAUUCUCCACAUUUGGAUUGCGGUAAGAGAGAUUGUUGUAAUUUGCAUUCCGGAAGUUGUUGUUGAAGUUGUUGUUGGAGCGAUUUUGGUAUGGCAUUAGUGCUCCUACGUAGUUCACAUCUUCUUCUUGAAAUGCUUGAUUAAUGUGAUCGAUAUCACUAGGUCCUUCCUCUUCUGCGCCAUUUUUGGUUUCACAGGCAUGGAUCGGGCGAUUGUUGCUCUUCAGAAGCUGGUUCACCAUGUUCUUCAACUCGGUUAUCUCCUUGUUGUCUGUUCCGGAUUGCUUCAUCGAUCGAUCGUAUUCAGGACAGUCAUUGCUAUUGGCUUGAGCCAAAUUUUCGAUGAGAGCUCUUCCUUGGGUUAUCGUCUUUUGCCCAAAAUCUCCAUUGCUAGCUGUAUCAAGUGAAAGUUUGUAUUUUGGUUGCAAACCUCGAUAAAAUGUGCUUAGCAGGCUUGAUCCAUGAAAUCCAUGGUGAGGAGUCACGUUCAUAUUCCUUAAAACGUUCCCAAGCUUCAUAGAAAGAUUCAGUUGGCCCUUGUUGAAAGGUUGAGAUCUUCGUUCUCAAAUUGUUCGACCUUGACUUAGUGUAGAAGUGGUUUAGGAAAGCAGUUCUACAUUCUUCCCAAUUGGUAAUCGAUCCUGCAGGCAAAGACUUCAACCAACGGUGAGCUUUAUCUGCUAAUGAAAAAGGGAACAACUUACACUUUAAAUAGUCAGGUGGAACUUGGUUUGUUCUCAUCAUGCUGCAAAUUUCUUCAAAAAGCUCGAUAUGGUCCAUUGGGUGCUCAGAAGGAACUCCAUGGAACUGGUUUUGCUUCACCAAUGAGAUGAUUUGAGGCUUGACUUCAAACUCAUUCCGGUUUGGAAAUGGUACUUGAAUCGCAGAUCGAUUCUGAAAAUUUUGAGUAUGUGCAUCAAAAUCAGCUAUGCGAUGGUUCUUGGCUUGUCUUUGGUGUUGAUUUGCUGGCGGAAUGGGGCGGUGAAUGCGUUUAUUCGGCUGCAUUGCUGGGUGGUCACCAUCGGCUGCAUUGAUGGGUGGAUCAAGGUCUUCACGUCCUUCUCUCUCUCGGUUCUGGUGGUUUCUUGGAAGAACCUCAUCCUCCUCUCCAUCUUGUCGAGCAUGAUCACCUUUUAUGUGAUCAUUCUCUUUGUUUUCUCCAUGUUCGGACCCGUCUUGGUCCAUAUUUAAAUUUCGAUUAAUAGGAUCUCUAGGCUGGUCGUCGUUGGCCAUUCCUUGCGUUCGUCUAAGUCUUCGAAGUUUUCUUUCGUGUCUGUCUAUCUCGUCUAGAAUUGGAAUGUCUCCUGCAGGUCUACGCCUGGUAUUCAUGAAAUUCAGAGAAAAACAAAAGAAGGGAAAGAUAGUUCAGAAAAACUUUAAGAAAGAACUAGAGAUCAGGUGUCUAGAACAGAAGUUAAAACAAGAAAAAUAGCAAAAGGCAGCGAAACAAAUCCCCGGCAACGGCGCAAAAAACUUGAUGUGCUCGUGUCAACUACGUGAGGGAACAAGUUUUACCCUUAACAAGACAAAUGAAAGCCGCAAGUGCACAGCUAAUCAGUUGUAAUAUUUAGGGAUCGAAUCCACAGAGAUUUGUGUGCCUGAUAUUCUUCUACGGUUUUUAACUUUAUGUCUAGACUAAAUUGGUUUUAAAGGUUGGUUGUUUUUCUUGCGAAUUAAACUAAAACAAAAGAAAGCAAAUAAAUCUAUCCUAAAAAACAGGUAAGAAAAUCGAAUGAAAUGCAAUUAGAAUAGGCAAAUAUCGAAUGAAAGACUAAUAAGGCAAGUAAGAUAUCGCAUGAAAAGUAAAUAAAGCAAGUAAAUAAUGAACUAAGGAAAUUGAAAUGCAGGUCUAAAAAAGCAACUAAAAAUCGAUGGGAUUGUAAACUAUGGCUAAAAAUGCUGAGCUUUUGGGAACUCUAAGGGAUCAUAAUCGGUUUUAACACUAAGGUAGAUAGAUUAGGAUUGACAGAUAACGAUAUAUGGGUUCUAGAGCUAGAGUACGGCGGUAUGACUACGUCACUGUCGUGAUCAUAACCAACAGUUUCUCGCAACCCUGACCAGUAGGUUUCCACUCUGGCCCUGGAAGGGAGAGAACGCAAGAGCUGCUCAAGACUCGUCAAUACUCACGAUCUCGCCGCAGGUAGGUUUCCACUCCUACGGAAAAAUUGCCUUUUCAUUCUAGGGCUGAUACUUAAUGAAAACUUUCGCAACACUAACUAUCUAGAUCAGAUACUAGGUGAUCAAACAAGCAUACAUGCAAUAAGAACAAGAAUAAACAGAGAACAGGUCGAAAUCCCAGAUCUAUAAACCUAGAUGUCUUAAUCGAUUAUGAGAGCCCCUUUCGGGAACCCUAAGCCCAACUCGGGAUCAACUCAGACAUGGCUGAGUUCGACAUCAUCAUUGGUUUUAAUAAAAGUAAUGAAAAAAAGUAAAGAAAAGAGAUAAAGAAAGCUUCUCUAUUGAAGAACUCGGACUUGAACAAUCUUCUACAAAAAUCUCAUAAAAACGGCUAAAGGAAAAGGGUUUAUGUAAAGUAUGAAGGGUUCUCCUUAAAAACGACCUAAAUGACAUGUAUUUAUAGUCUCCAAUACUCCAUGGUCUCUAGGGUUCCAGAAUUGAGGCUGAGAAUGACUUUGGGCUUCAGAUAAGUGGGCUUUAACUCGGAGAUUGAUUGCCGCAGUCGGGAGUGUUGUGACCGCGGCAAUUGGCUUGUUGGUCGCGGUCGGGAAGCUUCUGACCGUGGCAAAUAGCUUGUUGGCCGCGGUCGGGUGAGUUGUUGACCGACUUCGAAUGGCUCCGGGGCUAAUGAAAUAUCUUGAGAUCCAACCGUUGGAAUGUCUCCAAACCAAGUGCAUCUGAAAGCUGGUUGAUUCUUCUAUAAGUUGUCUAAUUUUGAGGGUGAUCAGACGGUGAGAAGGUCUUCGUCUCUCCAUGAGAGUUCUGACGGUCUGCAUUUAUCCAAAAUAGUUUUUUUGUUCCAUUUUGUGCCUCUUUAUCCCAAAUUACCUGAAAAGUCUUUUAAAAUCCGGAAACAUAGAAAUCCUUUGAAAACCUUUGAAAAUGGAGUAAAACCACCUGUAAAAGAUAUUAAAAUGAUCCAUAAAAAUGGUCAAAAUCCGGUGUUAUCACCUUUAAGCCAAUCAAGCAGAAAAGAAGAAAGCUCGGCCCCAAACGAGCUAAAGCAGUUAACGACGAAGUCGAGAGAUUACUCAAAGUAGGAUCAAUCGCCGAGGCCAAAUAUCCGGACUGGCUCGCGAAUCCGGUGGUCGUGAAGAAGAAGAACGGCAAGUGGCGGGUCUGUGUGGAUUUCACUGACCUCAACAAGGCGUGCCCAAAAGACAGUUUUCCCUUGCCACACAUCGACCGGCUUGUCGAAGCCACUGCAGGAAAUAGAUUGUUAACAUUUAUGGACGCGUUCUCUGGCUACAAUCAGAUCCUGAUGCAUCCUGAUGAUUGGGAAAAAACGGCAUUUAUAACUGAUCGCGGGAUAUACUGCUACAAAGUCAUGUUGUUCGGGCUCAAGAACGCGGGAGCAACAUAUCAACGGCUCGUCAAUAAAAUGUUCGCGGCUCAGCUCGGAAAAACCAUGGAGGUAUACAUUGACAACAUGUUAGUCAAAUCACUCAAGGAGGAAGACCACGUCGCGCAUCUACGGGAAUGCUUCGAGCAAUUGAACAAGCACAACAUGAAACUAAACCCGGCAAAGUGCAGAUUUGCGGUCACCUCGGGAGAAUUCCUCGGCUAUCUGGUAACUCACUGAGGCAUAAAAGCAAACCCCAAGCAGAUCAAGGCAUUAAUCGAGAUGCCCUCUCCAAGGACGAAGCACGAAGUGCAAAAGCACACAGGAAGGGUCGCCGCGCUAAACAGGUUUAUUUCCCGUUCUACCGACAAGUGCCUGCCUUUCCACGACACCCUUCGGGGAAACAAGAAAUUCGAGUGGGACGAGCGAUGCGAAGCAGCUUUCCAAGAGUUGAAGAAUUAUCUGGCGAGUCCACCGAUCUUAGCAAAACCAGUCGAAGGAGAGCCGCUCUUCCUCUACAUCGCCGUAUCUGCUACAGCUGUGAGUGGAGUGCUUAUCAGAGAAGAACGACCCGAGCAAAAACCCAUUUUCUACAUCAGCCAGACACUGACCGACGCCGAGACCCGCUACCCCCAGAUCGAGAAGGUCGCCUUAGCCGUCGUAGUCUCGGCUCGCAAACUGCGCCCGUAUUUUCAACCACAUUCAAUUGUUGUGCUCGCUACACUUCUGCUGCGCUCGAUCCUACACAGCCCGAGCCAAUCCGGUCGGCUCGCCAAGUGGGCCAUAGACUGAGCGAAUACGACAUCGAGUAUCGGAACGGGUCGUCUGCAAAGUCACAGGUGCUCGCAGAUUUUCUCAUCGAACUUCCAGCCGAAGCAACGAACGAGCCAACCCCGGACGAAGUAUGGACGCUGCACGUCGACGGCUCGUCAUCUAAACACGGCUCAGGAAUAGGAAUCCGCCUCACCUCUCCCACAGGAGAGAUACUGGAGCAGUCGUUUCGCCUAAACUUCCACGCCUCGAACAACGAAGCAGAAUACGAAGCAGAAUACGAAGCACUGAUCGCCGGUGUACGACUAGCGCAAAGAAUUGGAGUUCAAAAGAUAAUAACCUUUUGCGAUUCACAGCUCGUAGCAUGCCAGUUCAACGGAGAGUACGAGGUGAAAGAUGGACGAAUGGGAGCUUACCUCAACGUGGUCCGAGAGUUGGUGCAGAAGUUCGACGAGUUCGAGCUCACACAAAUUCCCCAAGGAGAAAACACCUCGGCUGACGCCUUGGCAGCACUCGCCUCGACCUCAGACCCAGACCUCCGACGGACGAUUCCAGUUGAAUUCAUCGAACGUCCUAGCAUCGAAGAGGUAGAAAGAGUUCGGCUGAUAAAUCCUCCCGAACAAGAACCGGAAGACGACAAAGCCAUUCCUAUGGACGAAGACGCCCUACCAGCCGAGCCGGAGUACGGCUGCAACAAAAAAUGGCUCGGAGCUAUCCGAGUAUAUAUCGCCGAUGGAGAAGUCCCAACCGACAAGUGGGAAGCCCGCAAAUUAAAAGCAUAGGCCACGCGGUAUGUCCUUGUCGACGGAGAGGUGUUUAAAUGGAGAUUUUCAGGACCUCUCAUGACAUGCGUCGAAGGACCGGAGGCAAGAAAGAUCAUGCACGAACUGCACAGCGAAGCGUGCGGAAACCAUUCUAGCGGAACGUCGCUCGCUAUCAAGAUAAAACGGCACGGUUACUUCUGGCCUACGAUGGUCAAGGACUGCGAAACAUUUACGGCAAAGUGCGAGAAGUGUCAACGGCACGCUCCAACAAUUCAUCAACCUACCGAGCUGCUCUCAUCAAUUUCGUCAUCUUACCCGUUCAUGAGAUGGUCGAUGGACAUCGUCGGACCUCUACAUCGAUCGAAGCAGAAGCGCUUUCUGCUCGUCCUCACGGGUUAUUUUUCCAAGUGGGUCGAGGCUGAUUCCUACGCAAGCAUAAAGGAUGUUCAAGUCGAACACUUCGUAUGGAAAAAUAUCAUCUGCAGACACGGGUCCCCUACGAGAUAGUCACCGACAACGGAUCCCAGUUCAUCUCGACGCGUUUUGAAGCCUUCUGCGAGAAGUGGAAAAUCCGUCUAAGCAAAUCUACACCAAGAUACCCUCAAGGGAACGGACAAGCUGAAGCAGCCAACAAGACAAUCCUAGACGGUCUGAAAAAGAGGCUCGACGCCAAGAAAGGACGAUGGGCAGACGAACUCGAAGGAGUCCUUUGGUCGCAUCGAACGACCCCGCGCCGAGCCACCGGAGAAACUCCAUUCGCUUUGGUCUACGGAGCGGAAUGCGUAAUUCCCCCCCGAGGUGGACUUCCCAGGUAUUCGACGAAGACUUCUACCAGGACAUGAGGGCUUAAACCACUUAAUGAUGCUAGAUGAGCUCGAUCUAAUCAACGAAAGGCGUGACCAGGCUUUAGUCCGAAUCCAGAACUAUCAACAAGCAACGGCGAGGUACUUCAACAAAAACGUUCGUAGUCGAAGAUUCAAAGAAGGAGAGCUCGUCCUUCGAAAGAUUUUCCAAAACACUGCCGAGAAGAAUGCAGGAAAGCUCGGAGCAAACUGGGAAGGUCCUUACAAGAUUACAAAAGUAGUUCGCGCAGGAGUCUACGAACUCGCAACCCUAGCUGACGAAGCGAUUCCAAGAUAAUGGAACGCAAUGCAUCUAAAGAAGUAUUAUCACUAAAGCUACAGUACGGUCAACAUGAACUACGGGACGGCUUGAUCCCUGCAAAGGGUACGUAGGCAGCCCGUCCUCGGACGGAUUCAGCUGUCCCCCCUCCUAAAAAGGGGGGGGGGGGAGUGGGUACGUAUACACAUACUUUCAUUUAACUCUACAAUUUUAGCUCACCUACCUAGGAACAUUGCCACUUCGGCACAUUUUCAGUUCGUUUUAAGUUAUCUACUUAUUUCAUGUUCACCUCGGAAUUCUAGUUCGUUCAUUAUCGCUUCGGCUAGUUUCUCAUUCUUUUAAAUCAGCAGCUUAUUUCAUAAUUCGCCUCGGAUUCUUUAAUUCGUUCACCCAUCACUUUGACAUGUUAUCAUGACUUAAUCGUCUCAGACCUUUUACUUGCCUUCACUUUCAGUUCGACAAAUUAAGUCUCCAGACGCCUCGUCUCGUUGCUGGCCACAACGGGACAACGGAUACAAAGUUCUCUAAACGGACUUUUACCACCUUUCUUAGGACGAGGGUGCAAGUUACAUCCUCUAUGAAUAAAAUUAAAGCGCGCUAUACAAAUAUCAGACCAAAAACGUAUCGGUCGCCACAGUUUACUAUCGCACACAGAUUAUAAGUCGAGACUACAUCGCUUUCUCUAAAACCGAAGUGAACUCUUAAAACCCGGCAAAACACACUCAUCCUCUCGGAAACGCCGGUCUAUGGUCAUAUUCAACGAGACUACUAUAUCCUCUUGAUCUUUCGCCUCGUCAAUGAGAAAACACAUAACUUACCUGAUAAAUACUUCGGCUUCUUUCUCAAAACAAUCUUAUAACAGCUCACCUCAAUGCGGACCUCUCUCAGUGACAGAAUGGAUAAACCCCAAAUCAUUUUUGGUUAAUAAAAACAAAACGCCUCGUCGUUUACACGGCUCGGCAUCAUGCAAAGAAAAACGCCUCGUCGUUGAACACGGCUCGGCAUUACCAACAAAAGUUGCCUGGAUAUUAUCACUUAACACUUUUUAGCGUCACCUAAAACAAAAGACGCUCCACAAACCAACUCCCAGCUCGGGAUUCAGAACUCAAACGGGAUCCUGAACAACUCACCCCUUAGCCCGUAUUUCUAUCAAUUUCAAAGAAUUCGGCUAGAAAAGCAAUCGAGAUCAUUCUCGACACAGCUCGAUAAGCCAAUCGGUGACAACUCUUUCCAAACAAACAGUUUUUGUAAACAUUUUCACGGAUCGUCAAGGACAAACGAAUCAAAUCCGAAAACGGCUAAGGAAAAGAUAAUAUAACCAAAUGGAAAAAUAACAGUCAGGUGGAUAAAGCCAUCCAGGCACCGGUUUCACAAGAUUUCAAGAAGCAGAUAACAUCACCUAAAAUCCUAAGUACAAAAGCAUGUGAGACGAAAAGAUAGGAGAAAGCGGAGAGGAUCAGGCCGCAGACUGCGUUUCACACUCGGCAAGGAGGUUCGAGAGGGCCGGCGUCUCCGCAUUCGAUCCGGUCGGAUCUACGACGCCCAGGUUGGCCGCUGUCUCCUCGAGCGGCUCGUUACCGAGACUGGUGUCCACCUAGUCCGGCGAUACGGGCGAAAAAACCAGGUUACCUCGAAUCUCAGAGGCAAUGCGCUCAUACGCCUCGUCGUCGGCGUACUUGCUCUCCCAGCUCUUCAGCUUCGCCUCCUCGUCAUCGAGCGUUGGGGCGUCCAGUUUCAUCAGGUCGGCAAUCAUCGCAAGAUUGCCCUUGAUCUGCCCCAGCUCGUUCUUGUCGGUUUUGGCCUUCUCGAGCUUGGCCAAACCUUCCUUUACCUUGGCGAGGCGUUCCUGAAACUUAUCCUUUGCCUCGAUACGCUUUUUGAGCAACGCCACCUCGGCGCUUUUAGCUCUCCUAGCCUCCUCCAGGCAAAUAGCCGAGGCGGAGACCUUGUCAAUAUUGGUGCAGAGAACUAUCUUCUCCUCUUCCAGCCUGGACACCCUGGUCAUCGCCUCGUCCAGCUUCCCCUUUGCCAACGCGGUCUCGUUCGGAGCCUCGUCCAAGCGACGUUCAACCUUAGACAGGUCCGUCUCGUAUUCAGCCAUCAGCUCGUUGAUGGUCGCUACAAACUGCAAGGAAUAAUGCGCGUUAAACACUUGGUACCACGCUGUGCCAUCGCGCCGUACGACCUCGGUCUCCUCAGCUUUUCUGGAGGAGGAAGACGCGUGUUCGCAUUAUUAACGCGCGCGAACAUUACUGCCGAGGCGUCAGGGUCGUCAACGACCAGUUUGCGCGCAGCGUGAUCACCGGGAGUCGACUUGCGCUUCUUCUUGGACGGCUCAUCUUUUGGAUAGCAACGCCCGCUGAACGUUUCCGGCUAGGGUCGUGCUUACGUACAACCGAGGUCGGGGGCCUCGAUGACUUCGGGAGAGCCAGAAUAGCGGAAUUUGAAGGAGUUUUACUCCGCGCCGCCGAGUCAUCUUUGGACGCCUCGGGAAUAAUCUCGCCCGGUUCCACCUCGGGCGCUGUUUCUUUUUCGGCCGCCUCGGCAACGUUCGCCUCCGUGGCUCGGACCGUGUCGUCACCUUCACGGCUCGGCGGAUCGGUCUGAGGGAUAGCCUCGGUCUCUGUUUGAGCCGCCUCGGCGGCUCGUCUCGCGGCUUCUUCCUCUUCACGCCUCUUCUUAUCUCUGAGAGUAAUGAUCACCAUUUUCUCUCUGGUAUCUCUUGAGGAGCUGGAAGAUGAAGAGCUAACAGGGACUCCGGCAAGAAUAGCUCGCGCUUUUUCUACUCUCUCAAGUGUGAAAUUCUUCCUCCAGUUAAGCUUCCGAGCCGAAAGGGAGUCUCGAACAAUAAAGAGGUCGUCGGGAAUCGGGGAAAGAAUAUUCCGAACUGCAAAAACAACGCAAAAAGAAAAAAGAUUCAGUAAGGGAAAAUGCAAAAAAAACAGUUCCGAGCCGAGGCAAAGCUUCGGAUCGGCUACCAAGUGUCCCCAAGCGGUCUUGGUUUUUUUAAUGUAAUCCUCGCCGACCGACGCCUCGUUCACCAAGACAUAGAAGAAGCGUUCGGUCCAAAACUGAAACUUGCUUGGAAAACCACCUAUAAUCCGGCGAUUGGACUUGUUAGAAAUAUAGAAUCUAUCUCCCUUCGGAGCUUUCCUGAUUUUCAGCAAGUUCAGUGAUGUGCUCGUGUCAACUACGUGAGGGAACAAGUUUUACCCUUAACAGGACAAAUGAAAGCCGCAAGUGCACAGCUAAUCAGUUAUAGUAUUUAGGGAUCGAAUCCACAGAGAUUUGUGUGCCUGGUAUUCUUCUACGGUUUUUUAACUUUAUGUCUAGACUAAAUUAGUUUUUAAGGUUGGUUGUUUUUCUUGCGAAUUAAACUAAAACAAAAGAAAGCAAAUAAAUCUAUCCUAAAAAACAGGUAAGAAAAUCGAAUGAAAUGCAAUUAGAAUAGGCAAAUAUCGAAUGAAAGACUAAUAAGGCAAGUAAGAUAUCGCAUGAAAAGUAAAUAAAGCAAGUAAAUAAUGAACUAAGGAAAUUGAAAUGCAGGUCUAAAAAAAGGCAAGUAAAAAUUGAUGGAAUUGUAAACUAUGGCUAAAAACGCUGAGCUUUUGGGAACUCUAAGGGAUCAUAAUCGGUUUUAACACUAAGGUAGAUAGAUUGGGAUUGACAGAUAACGAUAUAUGGGUUCUAGAGCUAGAGUACGGCGGUAUGACUACGUCACUGUCGUGAUCAUAACCAACUGCUUCUCGCAACCCUGACCAGUAGGUUUCCACUCUGGCCCUGGAAGGGAGAGAACGCAAGAGCUGCACAAGACUCGUCAAUACUCACGAUCUCGCCGCAGGUAGGUUUCCACUCCUACGGAAAAAUCGCCUGUUUCAUUCUAGGGCUGAUACUUAAUGAAAACUUUCGCAACACUAACUAUCUAGAUCAGAUACUAGGUGAUCAAUCAAGCAUACAUGCAAUAAGAACAAGAAUAAACAGAGAACAGGUCGAAAUCCCAGAUCUAUAAACCUAGAUGUCUUAAUCGAUUAUGAGAUCCCCUUUCGGGAACCCUAAGCCCAACUCGGGAUCUACUCAGACAUGGCUGAGUUCGACAUCAUCAUUGGUUUUAAUAAAAGUAAUGAAAAACAGUAAAGAAAAGAGAUAAAGAAAGCUUCUCUAUUGAAGAACUCGGACUUGAACAAUCUUCUACAAAAAUCUCAUAAAAAGGGCUAAAGGAAAAGGGUUUCUGUAAAAUAUGAAGGGUUCUCCUUAAAAACGACCUAAAUGACAUGUAUUUAUAGUCUCCAAUACUCCAUGGUCUCUAGGGUUCCAGAAUUGAGGCUGAGAAUGACUUUGGGCUUCAGAUAAGUGGGCUUUAACUCGGAGAUUGAUUGCCGCGGUCGGGAGUGUUGUGACCGCAGCAAUUGGCUUGUUGGCCGCGGUCGGGAAGCUUCUGACCGCGGCAAAUAGCUUGUUGGCCGCGGUCGGGUGAGUUGCUGACCGACUUCGAAUGGCUCCGGGGAUAAUGAAAUAUCUUGAGAUCCAACCGUUGGAAUGUCUCCAAACCAAGUGCAUUUGAAAGCUGGUUGAUUCUUCUAUAAGUUGUCCAAUGUUGAGGGUGAUCAGACGGUGAGAAGGUCUUCGUCUCUCCAUGAGAGUUCUGACGGUCUGCAUUUAUCCAAAAGAGUCUUUUUGUUCCAUUUUGUGCCUCUUUAUCCCAAAUUACCUGAAAAGUCUUUUAAAAUCUGGAAACAUAGAAAUCCUUUGAAAACCUUUGAAAAUGGAGUAAAAACACCUGUAAAAGAUAUUAAAAUAAUCCAUAAAAAUGGUCAAAAUCCGGUGUUAUCAUUCAGCAGGUGAUUCAGUUCGAUAUCAAGCCUGCACUCAAAGCUUCGAACCAAAAUGCCAAUCAUAUGCCGUAGACCCCUCGGCAUGAUCUGCCUAAUUGAGAUCCCAUGUUUCCAGAGGUAUUCAAGGAUAACUCCAGGGAUCGGGAACCAGAGAAAUCAAAGCUCGAAGAACGCCUCGUACAGAGUGAAGUGAUUCUCGGGAGGCUUGUCGUCUCGGUCGUUCUUAUCUGGAACGAUAAACUCCACCGCCUCGGAUAUCUCGAAACAACGCCUGAACGCCUCGAGUGAGUCAGGGGAGGAAUGCGUAGAACCAGGCGGGUCAGGUUUUUGUCUUUUCACCCGUUGCCUUCGCCCAGAUGAAGAAGCGCCUCAGGACGCCAUGAAACGUUCUAAUUCAUGCUUUGCCUCGAACAGAUCAAAGGGAAACGCCUCCUCCUCGGCUUUUACUGCAGCACGAUUAACGUCUUCGUCAAGAGCGGGACCCUGAGGCUGGCUCGUCGAAACCGACGGCUCGUCAUCUAGAGAGCGGGCGCCUGACGGAUUUGAAUGAUUCGACGCCUCGUCGCUUUCAGGUGAACGGUUGGAAGGGCUCGGCGAAAUGGAUGCCUCGGAAGAUUCUGUUGCACUUCUCGCCUCGGCAUUUACAUGGCUCGGUUCGUAGUUAAAAAGCGAAUCCAACGAAUCAUCAGAACGGUUCGACAUGAUUUACAGAUUAUACGGGAAUUACAAGGUUACACGGCGAACUUCCAUCGGAAAAAGAUCUAGAGCGGCGGAGACCUCAGAACCCUAGACGGAAAAUAAAUAAACAAGACAGAGAAAGAAGAGAGAAGGGAGAGCUACCUUUUAGUGAAAACGAGUGGAUCUGAAGAUUAUGAGAAGGAACAAAAGAGCUCACCUAUUUAUAGAAAAACCGAAGCGCGUGGGUUAUGUGUGAACCUCGGGAGACCGUCCAACAGCGCGUGGGAUCCGCGGCGUAUUAACUAGCUCCAACUGCGUCGGUUACACGCGCCAAUAAAUCAGGAAAAUUCUUUCGGAAGACCAACGGUUGGGAUACCUGAGUUUUCAGCCGACAUCUCGCCACAGUAAACGCCUCGUCGUUAACAAAACGGCUCGGCAUUAACUUUUUCUUGAAACGCCUCAUCGUUAUCAAAAUGGCUCGGCAUGACUUUCUCAAAAACGCCUCGUCAUUUAUUCGGCUCGGCAUGACCUUCUCAAAAACGCCUCGUCGUUUAUUCGGCUCGGCAUAAUAUUCACAAGUCGCCUCGCGUACAACCCUCUUCUAAGGAUAUCUUCCCAAACAGCAUAGACCGCGCCACGCCUCGUCGUUAAACUCGAAUCACGGCUCGGCAUUAUCAACACAAACGCCUCGUCGUUAAACUUGAAUCACGGCUCGGCAUUAUCAACGUAAACGCCUCGUCGUUAAACUAGAAUCACGCCUCGGUAUCCUUGACACCCUCUGGGAAUGCCUCGGCACUUUUUCGAAAAAGCGUCUCAUCACUAACGAGGCGGCUCGGCACAUUCUUCACAUAACCUCGCCAAAACGGCUCGCUACUACACACUGUCGAAGGGCGGCUCGGCAUCUUUAUUUCCAAAACGCCUCACUUGGGACUGUGUCGCAACAGCUCGACUCGAUGGUCUAUCCUAUGAACCUCGUCACUCUCGCCUCCGAAACUGACGAGCUGGGGGGCUAACUGUUGGGGUCGGUUUCACCCUAAUCGGUUUAAACCAUCUCAAUAACAUUGGAGAGCCGAUUCCGACAAGGAGAACCGGUGACCUGUCAAAAAUGGGCCGAGCCCCACAGAAGAAGGCCAAGCUCAAGUGGGCCGAGCCGUGAGGUGAAAAUGGGUGAGCCGCGUAUGAGAGCAGACGGGCCGAGCUGUGUCGUGAGGUAUGGGCCGAGCCGCACUUCAACAUGAUUGGACCGAGCCGCGCCUCACGAGUUAGGCCAAGUCACGUCUCAACUCGAAUGGCAAGUGGGCCGAGCCAUGGAGAAGGUUAGAUGGGCCGAGCUGUGAGAAGAACGGUGAGCGGGCCUAGCAGCGUGAGAGGAGGCAUGGGCCGAAUCGCUUCCCUGUGUGUUGGGCCGAGCCGGUUUUCCAAGAUGGGCCGAACCAAGGCUUUAGAAGACGAAAGCCCACAGAAGCCCUAGGUGAAGUAUUAUGACGGUGGCCGCACGAAGCGAUAAGGAAAUAUACCUAAAAUCUCUCCCAAGAUUCUCGGGAGAGGCGGUUUAAGAAGUUAGUAUAAAUAGGAGAUUUUUACGAUUCAUUAUGUAACUUUUGCCACCCUAAGCAAUAAGACCUAAACACUUUAACAGCAAUAAAAAUCCUCUUUUGAUCUUACUGUUCUUGCGAUUACCCUAGAUGUUUCGGAUCCCUUAGUUUUUCCCUUACAAAUUUUUGGUUGUGCGAGUUUUGGCUCACACAGGUAUCAGAGCUAAAUCGAUCUCUAGGAUUAUGGUUAUUUUCUUAUUAGAUUAGGAGAUAUCUAGUUUUAAUAGGAAAAGGAAAGUGGCUUAGCAAAGUUGUGCAAACCACUAUAUAUAUGUAAGUCAUUGAUGAUGUUGCAUCUAAGAGUAUUCGGAUGCAUCAGUUUUGCAAAGACAGAGGCUCAACACUUGAAGAAGCUGGAUGAUAGAUCACGAGUACUUGUUCACUUAGGAACGAAACCAGGAUCAAAACCAAGAAAAUAGUUGUGAGCAGGGAUGUGAUCUUUGAUGAAAGCAAAGGCUGGAAGUGGGGUGAGAAGGAAAUCAGUAACAACACUGGAAUUUCUAUAAUCAGUUUUGGAGAACACAAUUAUAAUAACUCAAGGGGAGAUGACCAUGAUCUCGAAGAAGAAACAGAGGAAAAGGAGGAAGAGAGUUCCGAAGAAGAGGUCACUGAGCAUGAAAUACAAGUUCCCAAACCCGAGACAGAGAUGAUAUAUCAAGGAGAAGAAGUUGAACAAGGACUAAGGAGAUCAACAAGGUCAAGAGUAAGCCCGAGUUAUCUCGAUGACUUUGUCACUUUAGCCAAGAUUGAUAGUGAACACCUAUUGCUACUUAUAAACGAAGAGCCAUGGGAUUGCAAUGAGCAAAAGGCUGAUAUCUUAACCAAGGCACUAGGAAGAAACAAGUUCAAGGAGAUGAGAUAUCUCAUUGGAGUUCUAGGUGUGUCACAAAAGGAUUUCAAGCUUAAGGGGGAGAAUGUUGGAAUAAGCUUGAAAGAAACUUGAAGUGCAACUUUCCUAAUCCUAAUCAAAGUGUGUUUUCUAGAAGGUUAGGAUUAGAAAAGGAAAUUUAGGAGUUAUCUAAAAAGGAAAUUUGUUUCUCUAUUGAAAUUAGGAGUUAUCUAUUCCAUUCUCUAUAUAAGAGUUGCAAAAUUUGUGGUAGACAUUAUGAGUUGAGAGAGUGAUUAAGAGAGACUUUAGUUUUUGAGUGAUUUUUAAACAAUGGAGAUACCAGGUAAUUAAUCUGGUAUCCCUUUCUCUCUGUUUGAAUGUUCAAACAAUUAUCUGGAGCUUCCCCAGAGCUUAUAAACAGGCUAGUACCAGAGCACGUUAGGCGACAGAUGAGUGGAGGCUUUCCAUUUCAAGCUGCUCCGUAUAAACGACUUCGAAACCAAGAUGCUUUGUUCUUGGUAGAUAAGCCCAUCAAGCUUUUGCUUGGGGAUGUAGAAUUUCAAUUAUUUUAGGGGCCAUUUAGUAUAAAUAUUAGUUGGUUAAGAUGGUGCAGUGAUCUAUGAAAAAAGUGUUUAUUUGUCAUUGUAUUUGGCAUAUUUUAUUUUUAAUCAACAUUAUAUUAUAGAAAUAACUUUUCUUAAACAAUUUAAAAUAAAACAAAUGAAACAAAAACUACAAAACUCCAUCGUCCACUUUACUGUUCGCAUCUACUAUUCAAAAUAAAGAAAAUAACAUAUAUAUUCUAAGUGGAGGUUAUUGGGGAUAAAACGUUUCCUAAUUUUAGUAACAACUAAUAGCAUUUGCAGAUUUUUGCAAGAAAAAAGAAGUUAAAUCCAUUUCUGAAUUGGAAAAAAGGUUUGAAAAUUUCUCAAAACAGAAAGAAAAGAAAAUAGUUAUAAAAAAAAAAGCAUAUAUGUAUUUCCAUUCCUAGACGAUUCUUUACCGAUCUUGCGUGGUGAAAAAAGUAAUACUCAUAUUUUUUCUAUGUUUGGUGUUGAAGAGAUUUUCCAAUAAUCUAUUAUAAAAGAUAAACUUACUAUUACGAAAGAAAAAUUAGGAAAAAAAAUCUGUAUAUACAUUGUUCACUCGAGCUAAAACUAUAGAAACUAAUGAAUAAUUCAACAAAAUCAGGAUUCUUUCUAGUAAUGAUGAAACUUAUUACAAAUAAGAAAGAGUACAAAUAUAUGUGAUCCCAGCUUACAAUGAACCUGCUCCCUACUUAGCAAAAACAAAACUUUUCCAACAAUGUUUUCUAUUCUAGUUGUAUUUAUUCCCCUAUCUGGUUAACCCCUCUACUUCAUUGUGACUUUGUAUGUUCUUCACUUUCUGGUCAAUAUAGAUAUGCUUCUUGUACAAUUACAUGUAAUCCCAGUUUCCCACUCCGAAACCAAACUUUCCCACAUAAGGUCAGCAAUCUAAAAUCUUAUAUAAACCAUCAUAAACAUAAACUUUAGAGCUAACACUGUUUUCAUACUUAAACCCUCUAACCACCCGUACCUCAAUAUCAUGGUACAUACUCCUCUCUAUUGCUAGAUUCCCACUUUCUAGAGCUUCUGAUGUUGAAUCUGCCUGUGGAGCUUAUCUUGACCACCGUGAUCUACCAGAACAUCUCCAUGUGUCUUCAUCAUCCUCGUAAUUACCUGAGACGAUAAUGCUGGUGGCUAUUGGUUCAUCUCCUGUGUAAGCCCACCAAGAACAGUUUCAUGACGGUAAAAUAAGACGUCGCUGAUCUCAACCCGAAGGGAUGGAACCCACUAAGUAUUUAUCCUGGGGUUGAGAUCGGUCGACGUGUUCUUUUACCGUCAUGAACUGUGCUUGGUGGGCUUACACAGCCAGCUACAACGUAGCUCCAAAGGUGAACCGAUAGUCAUCAGCAUUGUCAUCUUGGUAAUUACGAGGAUGAUGAAGACAUACGUGGCUUGUUACAUUAGUCCCAGAAAAGAACCAAAUGUUCUUUCUACAUCUCUUAUCAUAUAAGUCUUAUUGUCUGUUCUUUCUCUCUCUCUGUUUUGCUCCUAUGGCAUUUUUGUCUUGCUUUAGCUUGGGGUAAUAUCUCGAAUCAAUGUUCUUGUUACUCCCCUUCUCUUAUCAUAGGAAACUCAUUGUCUGUACCAUUUUCUAGUUCACAUGCCAAAGUCUUACCGUUUUAGAGUUUUCCUUAAACGCAAUCAUUUUGUAUUCUCUCUCUCUCCGUUUUGCUCAUAUGGCAUUAAUCUGUUGCAAAAAUGAUGCAGAUGAAGAAUAUUUUGACAAAACAUAAACCUUUCUCUGCUCGUUCGCUGUUCUGUCUUUCCUUCUCUCUACGAUAUCUGCAAGGCAAGAUAAAUGUUCUUUCUACUUCUCUUAUCAUAGGAGUCUCAUUGUCUGUUCUUGCAUGCCCACAUGCCGAAGUCUUAAUAUAUUUGAGUAUUUUCGAAGUUUGUUUGGUUGCUCAAUUAAACCAAUCGCAUUCAGUGAAGAAUUAAUGUGGAUUCCAUUUUCUAAACCAGACCCAUUUAUUGUGAUAGAUAAUACAUAUUUGGUAAGUUACAAACAAUAGAGAUGAAAAUUGCCCUAAGUAAAAAGGAAGAAGAAAUUAAAUAUCUAUCACACUACAAGACAUGUUUGGACCACACAAAAACUCAGGGUUUAAUAGUUUGAUCGUGUGUGAUCAAACUAACAUAUUUUUGAUUUUUGUUUUACAUUUGAUUUAUUUUGUGUGGUAUCAACCAAUGUUCUAUUUGUUUUACAAAGAACGAUAGGAGUCUCUUCCAAAAUUUCAUUCUACAUUUCAUAAUUCUUAUUGCAAAAGUUCACGAUAUCUUUUUUUGUUUGUCAUUCAUUUUAAUUUCUAGGCUGAGCUCAAAAUUUCUCGAAAAAUUUGUUGUAACAGUAUGGAGGCAGAAGCUACAACUCUUCUUUGGAUCAUGAUAUGUUUGGAUAAUCUUGGCUAUGAAGAGGUAAUUUCCGAGAGUGAUUCAAAGAUAUUGGAGAAAGCGGUAUAAGCUGAACCUCGAGAAUGGUCAAGGUUUAUAGUCUAUACCUGAGAAAUCAACAAGACAAGAAAAAUAUUAAUUCGACCAACCAUCACUUUCCAAGGAAGACGAGCAAACUAAUGUGUUGAUCUUACAGCCAAUAAAACCUCUUCAUAUGAAGUUCAUUAUGCAUUCUUGAUUAUAUUGUACGUACUCUUUGGUUGAGAAGGAGAAACGAAUUUAUAUGAAAUAUGUUUGAGCUCGAAAAAAUAAGAAAAAUAUGGCAUUAUGUUAAGGAAUGAUGAUAACUCUCCGAAAUUAACAGCAACAAAAAAAUGGAUGACAACUCCUCGUUUACUGGUUUGGAUUCUAUACUAUUACAUUUCGGUUAUUUUCUCAUUUUCACACUUUUCCAUUAUUUUAUAACAUGUUAUGAUGUCAAAAAGAAAUUACAACAUGAUAUAGUGAAAUACAAACGAUAUAACUAUUAAAGUAGCAUUAUUUUAUGGCAUUUUAAAUUUUUAAUUUUGGAUGAUGUUUACUUUUUUUAAUUAAUUUUAUUUCAAUUAGGUAUGUCUCAAGUGGUUAUUUAAAUUCUCUUUCGUUUCUAACAUAAAAUUUUGUUUUAUGUUUAUGAAACUUUUCGCCCGCGUAAAGCGCGGGCUAAAUACCUAGUUUAAUAUUUAAAAUGACACAAUCGUUUUACCAAAAUUUUUUACGUAUAGGAAAUGAUAAAAGAAAAACAUUUACUUGUAAAAUUUUAAAAAUAUAUACUAGAACAAAAAACCUGCUUGUACACGCAGGUGAUCAUCUAGUAGUUAUAAAAAUAGCAUAAUUGUAUGUAUUUCACACUCGUAGACAAUUCUUUACCGAUCUUGCGUAGUGAGAAAAAUAAUACUCAUACUAUUGUUUAUGUCUGGUGUUAAAAAGAUUUUCCAAUAAUUUAUUACAAAAAAAUAAAUUUAAUUUUCGAAAGAAAAAUUAGGAAAAAAUUUAUAUACAUGUUCAUUUGAAUUAAAACUAUGGAAACUAAUGAAGAAUUCAACAAAACCAGGAUUCUUUCUAGUAAUGAUGAAACUUAUUACAAAUAAGAAAGAGUACAAGUACAUGUAAUCUCAGUUUACAAUGAAUCUGCUCACUACUAAAAAAAAAAUGUUUUUUCCAACAAUGUCUUCUGAACCCUUUGAUCUGCUACUAUUAAUCCGAGAAGCAGAAACAUGUUUUCAGCCAAGUGAGAAUUCUUGAUUAUACCCACAUAUCUGCAUCUCCUAAAAUUGAGGUUCCAUACAUUUUCAUUGCUGGAUGCUUGUGAACGCAUACCAAGAUUUGGAUGCUCGUCGAGAGGUUGGGUCCUCUUCUAAAUCCAACACAGGUGAAUGGUUGAGAACUGGAGUGGAUGUUGUUGACUUAAGCAGCAGCAACAACAACAAUACAGAUAAAGCAAUCAAAAGACCAUUCUUGGAUUUGGGUGUCGUUUUUCCUACCAUCACCGUUAGCAACANNNNNNNNNNNNNNNNNNNNNNNNNNNNNNNNNNNNNNNNNNNNNNNNNNNNNNNNNNNNNNNNNNNNNNNNNNNNNNNNNNNNNNNNNNNNNNNNNNNNCUGAAAUCUUCGGUUUGGGGAUUGAGCCUGCUUAAGUCCGCAUUACACAAGCACAUGUAACAUCUCAGAAAAAUAACUUCAAAAUACGGCCAGCAGAUCAGCAGGAUACCGCUUUAUCGAUCUCCUUCACUUAACCGCGUAAUGAUUUUAAAGGCAUGGGGAGACAGUAAAAGCAAGAUUUGAACAUUAGAGUAUAUGUAUGGUUUCUGUUCCUCAGUUUACAUCAUCAGCAUCCACUCCAGUUCUCAACCAUCCACCUGUGUUGGAUUUAGAAGAGGAACCAACCAACCACUUAUAUCCAUUCUGCUCCUGGUGUCUUCCACAGAGAUGUGAAACUACAGAACCUUUUGGUAAGUUGAUCUUAUUGUGGGUUUGUCUUCGGUAACCAUUACUAGAUUGUAAUCCAUUUCUCUGGUGCGUUCUGUAGGUUGAUCCCCUCACUCAUCAGUGUAAGCUGUGUGAUUUUGGAAGUGCAAAAGUAUUGGUAAGGGUUUACCUUAUUUAUGUUGUUUUAUUAUUUUUCCACUGCUUAUGUGUUCUGUCUCAUGAAAUCAAUUGCACCUUAUUUGUUUUCAUGAUCUUUGCAACAUGUGACUAUUGACUUUAGGUGAAAGGUGAACCAAAUAUAUCAUAUAUCUGCUCUCGGUAUUACCGAGCUCCAGAACUCAUCUUUGGGGCCACAGAGUCUACAUCCUCCAUAGAUAUAUUGUCUGCUGGUUUUGUUUUGGCAGAGCUCCUUCUUGGUCAGGUUAGUGUAAACUAAUUUAUCCAUUAAGUAUCUUGAGAACUAAAGCAUCUCUCCAAUAUCUUUGACAAUCAUUUGAUAUUUAUUUAUCUUCAGCCGUUAUUCCCCCAAAAUUCUGUGGACCAGCUAGUGGAGAUCAUCCAGGUGAAGUCUCAUUUUGAUUUAGAGUUUACCUUGGCGUCAUUAUAGAAAAUUCCUAUAAUCUAAUAGAUUUUUCAUUAUGAUUAAAAUUUCGUUCUGUUUAGGUUCUUGGUACUCCAACUCAAGAAGAAAUCCGAUGCAUGAAUCCAAACUUUACAGACUUUAGGUUCCCACAAAUCAAAGCUCAUCCAUGGCAUAAGGUAUUUUAUAUGCAUGUUACGUUCUAACUUUUCUGAUCAUACAAUAGCUUAGUAGAAAAAUGAAAAGCUGAAACAAUACACAUACUACUUUAUGACCUCCAGGUUUUCUAAUAAGCGGAUGCCUCCAGAAGACAUUGACCUUGCAUCUCGGCUUCUUCAACAUUCAUCGAGCCUACGUUGCACUGCGGUCAGUAUCUCUAAACGACCAAGUAUUCUUAGUUGUUAGAGUGGUUCUCUCUGUUUGGACCUGCACUGUUUAAUGAUGCUGGGGCUUUUUAACUGACAUGUGUUAUGUUUCCGUGUCUAAAAAGCUCGAAGCAUGUGCUCAUCCAUUUUUCAAUGAACUACGUGAGCCCAAUGCUCGUCUUCCAAACGACCGACCUCUACCACCGUUGUUCAACUUCAAACAAGAGGUACGUUAGUCCACUUUCCUUAAACCAACCAUUCUUAAACCAAACCAUAACAGAUGUUAAGUUCAAACAGUUUCUUAAUCUUGUAUCUCUCUCUGUUUAAAUGUUAAAACAGUUAUCUGGAGCUUCCCCAGAGCUUAUAAACAGGUUAGUCCUAGAGCAUGUUAGGUGACAGAUGAGUGCAGGUCCAAACAGAGAGAACCAGGUUAGUACUAGAGCACUGUUCAAGCUGGUCUGUAGAAACAACUUCGAAACCAAGAUGUUUUGUUCUGGGUAAAAAAACCCAUCAAGCAUUUGCUUUGGGCACUAGAAUUUCAAUUAUUUUAGAGGCCAUUUUGUAUAAAUAUGAGUUGGUUAAUAUGGUGUAGUGGUCUAUGAAAAAUGUGUUUAUUUGUCAUUGUGUUUGGCAUAUUUUAUUUUUAAUCAGCAUUAUAAUUAUAUUAUAGAAUUAGCUUUUCUGAAACAACUUAAAACAGAACAAAUGAAAUAAAAACUAUAAAACUCCAUUGUCCAUCUUACUGUUUACAUCUACUAUUCAAAAUGAAGAAAAUAACCUAUAUAUUCUUAGGGGAGGUAUUUGGGGAUAACACGUUUUUUAAUUUGGAUAACGACUGAUAGCAUUUGCAGAUUUUUGCAAGAAAAAAGAAGUUAAAUAUAUUUCUGAAUUGGGAAAAAGGUUUAAAACAUUCUCAAAAAAAAAAGAAAAGAAAAUAGUUAUAAAAAAACAGCAUAUAUGUAUUUCCAUUCAUAGACGAUUCUUUACCUAUCUUGCGUGGUGAAAAAAUAAUACUCAUAUUUUUGUCUAUGUUUGGUGUUGAAGAGAUUUUCCAAUAAUCUAUUAUAAAAGAUAAACUUACUUUUACGGAAGAAAAUUUAGGAAAAAAAUCUAUAUAUACAUUGUUCACUCGAGCUAAAACUAUGGAAACUAUAAUGAAGAAUUCAACAAAAUCAUGAUUCUUUCUAGUAAUGAUGAAACUUAUUACAAAUAAGAAAGAGUACAAAUAUAUGUAAUUCCAGCUUAUAAUGAACUUGCUCACUAUUUAGCAAAAAAAACUUUUUCCAACAAUGUUUUCUAUUCUAGUUUUAUUUAUCUCCCUAUCUGGUUAAGCCCUCUACUUCAUUGUAUAUUCUUCACUUUCUGAUCAAUAUAUAUGCUUCUUGUACAGUUACAUGUAAUCCCAGUUUCCCACUCCAAAACCAAACUUCUCCACAUAAGGUCAGCAAUCUGAAAUCUUAUAUAAACCAUCAUAGACAUAAACCUUAGAGCUAACACUGUUCUCGUACAUAAACCCUCUAAUCACCCGUACCUCAAUAUCAUGGUACACUAAAUUCCCACUUUCUAGAGCUUCUAAUGUUGAAUCUGCCUGUGGAGCUUAUCUUGACCACCAUGACCUGUAUAAACCAGAACAUCUCUAUGUGUCUUCAUCAUCCUCGUAAUUACCUGAGACGACAAUGCUGGUGGCUAUGGGUUCAUCUCCUGUGUAAGCCCACCGAGCACAGUUCAUGACGGGCAAAGAAUUUGUUGUUAAUCACGAUUACAGCUUGUAAACUUUUUCAGGUUCCGUUCUCGGCACAAGUAGUACAAGUUGUGAAUAUUCUUUAAUCUAGAAUGAGACUGGAACACCUUAACUCCACAGCCUCUUAAUCCUAUGUGCACAAGAUUCGAUACGCAAUUACGUUAGCCUGUCACAUGUCGACGUUAUUAACUAUCAUAUUAGAAUUUAGCCAGGUUAUUCUAAUCUGGAAAUUUUUCGUAAUAUAUGAGUGUUGAUGCGGACCAUCUGAAAAUGUCUAUUUAAUCCCAUGUGGACGUCACACNNNNNNNNNNNNNNNNNNNNNNNNNNNNNNNNNNNNNNNNNNNNNNNNNNNNNNNNNNNNNNNNNNNNNNNNNNNNNNNNNNNNNNNNNNNNNNNNNNNNAUGAACUGUGCUCUCAGUGGGCUUACACAGCCAGCUACAACGUAGCUCCAAAGGUGAACUGAUGGCCACCAGAAUUGUGGUCUCAGGUAAUUUGAGGAUGAUGAAGACGUAUGUGGCUUGUUACAUUAGUCCCAGCAAAGAACCAAAUGUGAAGGCGCAUUUGGAGCUGUGUAAGCUAAAGCAUCCAGGAGAGAACUAUCUCGGUAAUAUUAGAGUGAUGAGAGUUUAGGAUUGGAAGAAUUGUAUUGAAUGUACAUAGUAGCUACAUUUAUAUAGAGAAUGAAUUAACCUAAUAAUCUAACUAAUAAACUCAUAUAAAGAUAUUUACAAAUCUCUAGAAUAUAUUCACAAUAUCUUCUUUUAUCAUAUGGAUCUUCUAGAUCCUUCUAUACGCCCCCUCAAGCUCAAUGUGUGAUGGAGCGAAGCGGAAUCAAUGGUUUGAGAUUGACUUCAGAUUGAUCAAGUAAGAGCUGGUGUAUUCUUUGGACUUUGUGGAAGACGUUGAAUGCACGUGCUGAACAAGCGGAUGGGAGGACAACAAACCAUGACAACGAGGCGACAAAGAUGCAAGAGAGAUGCGAUAUGAUUGCGGUGAAAGCCUCAAUAGCAUGAAGAACGGUGUUGACCAUGGCGGUUUUGAGCCAGUGGGAUGUGGCAGUGGAAACUGUGCUUGGGUGGAGAUAGGCUCGUGACUUAGUUUCUUGAGGAAGAAGAAAUAGAGUUUAUUUUCUUCCUUUUUAUGUUUUUUUUUAAUUUUUUUUAUUGAAAGAACACGAUGAAAACUUUUUUUAUAUAUAUGACUGAAAUCAAAAAUCAAAAAUUGGAACGAAAACUUGUAGAACAUGUUUUUUUUAAUAGAAUAAAAAAUACAACGAGAAACCAAAAAGAAAAAAAAAUAUAUAUAAAAUAUCUAAUUUUUAUUUUCUUUUGAAUGUAUCAAACCUAAUUAGAACGUAGAAAAAUAAAACCAACGCAGCCACUUAUUAUUUAUUUUUUUGUGAAUAAGAAAAAGAGACAGAUAGAGAUGGGAAGGGGAAACAGAGAGGAAGUAGACCAGCCAUUUGUGUAAGAAGAAGCAAAUGACGGUGAAAAAGAAGAAAUGUAGAGAGAAAAAGGAGUUUGAUCGUUAGAUCUAUAACUCGGAAACACUCUGGCUUAGAUUCAGAGGUCCAUGAUAUAAUUAAAUUUUAGAAGCACUUGGCUUAAGAAAAAAAAUGAAAAAGAAGUUUGAUCACCAGAUCAAAACUUUGGAGCAAACCUGCUAUGAUACCAUAUUAGAGUGAUGAGAGUUUAUGAUUGGAAUAAUUGUAUAUUGACUCACAUUGAUUGAAUGUACAUAGUAGAUACAUUUAUAUAGAGAAUGAAUUAACCUAAUAAUCUAACUAAUAAAAUCAUAUAAAGAUAUUUACAAAUCUCUAGAAUAUAUUCACAAUAUCUUCUUUGAUCAUAUGGAUCUUCUAGAUCCUUCUAUAAUCCGAGCUAAGCUUGGACUAUGGGUCAGCAGAUGAACUGAACGGGAAGCUCUUAAUCUGUAACUGAGUAGCUUCUAUAGCUUGUUUCUGUAUUUUUCUAUGUCUUUACCGAGAUAGCUCUCCGGGAUGCUUUAGCUUGAGGCAUUUUCUCAAAUCAAUGUUCUUUCUACAUCUCUUAUCAUAGGAGUCUCAUUGUCUGUAUUCUCUCUCUCUCUGUUUUGCUCCUAUGGCAUUUCUUUCUUGCUUUAGCUUGGGGUAAUAUCUCAAAUCAAUGUUCUUGCUACUCUCCAUCUCUUAUCAUAGGAGUCUCAUUGUUUGUACCAUUUGCUAGUUCACAUGCCAAAGUCUUACCGUUUUAGAGUUUUCCUUAAAUGCAAUCAAUUUUGUAUUCUCUCUCUCUCUCUGUUUUGCUCCUAUGGCAUUAAUCUGUUGCAACAAUGAUGCAGAUGGAGAAUACUUUGACAAAUUAACAUAAACCUUUCUCUGUUAGUUCGCUGUUCUGUUUUUCCUUCUCUCUUCGAUAUCUGCAAGGCAAGAUAAAUGUUUUUUCUACAUCUCUUAUUAUAGGAGUCUCAUUGUCUGUACUUGCAUGCUCACAUGCCAAAGUCUUGCCAUAUUUGAGUAUUUCCGAAAUUUGUUUUGUUGCUAAAUUAAACCAAUCACAUGAUUCAGUGAAGAAUUAAGGUAGAUUCCAUUUUAUAAACCAGACCAAUUUAUUGUGAUAGAUAAUACAUAUUUGGAAAGUUACAAAUAAAAGAAAUGAAAAUUGCCCCAAGAAAAAAAGAAGAAGAAAUGAAAUAUCUAUCACACUACAACAAGACAUGUUUGGACCACACACAAACUCAAGUGUAAUUUAAUCGUGUGUGAUAACUAACAUCUUUUUAAUUAUUUUUGCUUUUACAUUUGAUCUAUAUUGUGUGGUAUCAACCAAAUGUUUUAUUUGUUUUACAAAAACCGAUAUGAGUCUCUUCCAAAAUUUCAUUCUACAUUUCAUAAUUCUUAUUGUAAAAGUUCACGAUAUCUAUUUUUUGUUUGUCAUUCAUUUUAAUUUCUAGGCUGAGCUCAAAUUUCUCGAAAAUUCUGUUGUAACAUUAUGGAGGCAGAAGCUAUAACUCUUUUUUGGAUCAUGACAUGUUUGGAUAAUCUUGGCUAUGAAGAGGUAAUUUUUGAGAAUGAUUCAAAGAUAUUGGUGAAAGCGGUAGCUGAACCUCGAGAAUGGCCAAGGUUCAUAGUUUAUACCAGAGAAAUUAACAUGACAAGUAAUAAAAUAAUUUGACCAACUAUCACUUUCCAAGCAAGGAAGACAAGCCAACCAAUGUGUUGAUCUUACAGCCAAUAAAACUUCUUCAUAUGAAGUUUUUUUUUUAAGUUCUUCAUAUGAAGUUCAUUAUGCAUUCUUGAUUAUAGUACUCUUUGGUUGAGAAGGAGAAACGGAUUUAUAUGAAAUAUGUUUGUGCUCGAAAAACAAAAAAAAUGUGGCAUCAUGUUAAAAUGAUGAUAAUUCUCCUAAAUGAACAACAACAAAAAAAAAUGGAUGAUAACUCCUCGAUUACUGGGUUUGAUUCUAUACUGUAUUACUUGUCGGUUAUAUAUUCUCAUUUCCAAUUAACUUUUCCAUUUUAUUAUAACAUAUUAUGACGUCAAAAAGAAAUUAUAACAUGGUGAAAUACAAACGAUAGAACUAUUUAAGUGGCAAUAAUAAGAUGAUGUAAGAAUCUGAUCUGAUACUACAGCAAAUAGAUAUUUGUGCUUGGGUAUGCCUAGAUAUUAUAAGCAAGUUGGUCAUAAAUACAAAUACGUUCUGAAAAUGUACCAAAGAGAUAUCUAGCAACCUCCUCCACCACCACCACCGCCACAACCUCCUCCUCCACCACAACCUCCUCUACCACCACAACCUCCUCUACCACCACAACCGCCUCCACCGCCAGACGCUCCAAAAAUAUAUGGUCUAUGUUUCGUCUCAUUUUUUUCAGAUUUUUUUUCACCGGUGCAAACAAAUACGGCCAUGGCUAUUACGGAGAAGGUGGCUGCAACCACCAAUAUCCCACAAACUAAACCAAAGCCACUGGUUCGAACGUCGCUCAAUAUGCUUCUCACCAUAUUCUCUUGUGUAUAUUUUGGUUAAGUUUGAGACUUUGGAUUCGGUUUUGGUAAGGAUUUAUAUAUGCUUUUGGAUGUGUGAGAAAUAAAAAGCAUUAUUUGUAGGUAAUUCUUUAAUGGACAAUGUUGGCUUACCGCGUACGUUAGGUGUGUCGGUGUGUGGUUACGUAAGAGUAAUACGUAAAAAUCUACAAGUUUCUUUGAUGUCAUGUAAGAAAAUUUUGGUUUAUAUGAGGUGGCUACUUUUCAACGUGCUUAGAUUUGGUUCAAUAUAAGCGAUGCUUAAAAGUCUUAUGAUAAGGUCCCUCUGGCUACUUUUCAACGUGCUUUAACAUUUGGUUCUAUAUGAGGGAUGCUUAAUAGUCUUAUGAUAA